UCAUGUCACAGAUGAUGUCGGUGUUUCUACUCCAACUAAAGAAGGAAUUAUGCAAGGAAACGGAGCACGAUGCGUUGUAGGGUUUCCUCCAUGCAAAGAUAACAAGUGCUACUACUGCAUUGGGGGACGAACUCAUGCUCGCUACUCUACGAUGGCUGAGUGUAGUCAUGCCUGCUUCUAAACAAAAAUUAAGAUCGCUGUUAUUAUAUACAUUGUAAUGGUAGGUAAUGCUAUUAAUAAUAUAUGGGAAUUUUAGUUUUGGUAUUAUACGUUUUCCAAUUCACAAAAUUUAGUCAAAAUCUAACCAAUUUUUUAGAGGACUUAAAUAUAAAGUAUGUUUCCCUUUAAAUUUUAAUGAAAAAAAUAUUAGAAUGCUUUGGGAUGCCUCCAUCAGCUCGCGGAUGCUGUUGUGGAUAGACAACGGUAUCGGUAUAAAUCACACUGCACAGAAUGAGGACGUUUCUAGGAGAACGUGCAUUCGGUCACGUUAGCGGAAAAAUCCUGAGUAGCAGUAGUUGCCUCCCAUAUCGGUGUCAACACCACGAAUGUUUCGUGCGACACAGAAGGUUUGCGGCUUGCUGUGGCAUUAAUCCGGCUGCGGCUUGUACAGUAUUUUGUCUCUAUGGAUUGCAGCUGCAGCCGUCCGAACAGCUGCAGGUCCUGUGGUUACAGGGCAGCCGAACAAGUCGUUGGUGCGAGGUCGGAGCAGUGGCAACCUGAUGCUCAAGGUGGUUCCAGAUGUCCACUCAGACAGAUGCUAGAGGCUUUUGGAUGCGACAUGCCUCAUCAGGGGAAGUGGAUCCUAAAGCCGAUGUUGCCCGCUAGGAGCAGGGUGCUCCAAGCCAAGAAACAUCCUAGAAAGGGAAGGAGGUGGCGCCGAACGAGGGUGGAUCAAGCGACGAUCGCAAUAGGUCACCCGAUUGGGGAGACUCCUCGCAAAUAGUAACGAUAAGGUCAUUAGGACCUUUUGGGGGCACAUGGCACGAUCAUGAGAGUUAGACUUCCUUGUUAGACUUUCUUUUUUUGUCACAUCCUUACAUCUAUUUUCUUAGCCCUAUGACGUCAGCCCCUUGUAGCACCCCGAAAAUCCAAACCUAGAAAAUUUCUCAAACUCGCUCUAAAUUAAAAAUGAAUUUUAAAUUUUGUUUCAAAAUGUUUUCUUGCGAGUUGAUCUCAACAAAGAAAAUAUAGUGGUCUUCCUUAUCUCCGAAAUUCUUUUCAAAAUAUCCUACAAAUAUUUCCCUAGUGAUCCCCUCAAAUUCUUUUCAGAAAUACUGGCUAAAUGUUCCACCGAUAUUUCUCCAAAUAUUUUUCUCCUAAGAAAUACCCUCGGAAUCACUUUUAAAAUCCCUACAAAUAUUUUCUUAAUAAUUUUCCUUAUGCUCAUACGUAUACAUACGCCUCCGGGGUCAUACAGUGAGCUCUACAAGCUAAUUUCACUUAUCCAUAGCUAAUACAUGUUUUAUCUCUCACUAAUCCUCGACUCCUCCCCUAAUCCCCCACCUUGCCCAUUAAUAGAGGGGCAAGGGGCCCACUCAUGCCAUCCCAAGCCAUUUCAUGGCUACUCAAUCCCACUCACUGACUUACUCCCACUCUAACACAAGCACAACACGCGCACAAGGAUCGUUCGGUUGUUCAUUCAAUUGUUCGUCCAAAUGUUCAUAGUUCGUUCGUUCGUUCCUCCGAUUGUUCGAUCAUCCAUCCGAUCGUUCAUGGUUCACUUGUUCAUCCGUCCAAUCAUUCGAUCGUUCGUCCGUUCGUUUGUCCAAAUAAUCUUUGUCCAGCCAUUAUACUGCCAAAAUUCUGAUCGCUCGUUCGUCCGAUCGUUCAUCUGUUCGUUCAUAAUCCAUGUUCAUAGUUCGUUCCUACGAACUAUUCAUCGUUCGUUCAUAAUACCUAUUCAUCGUUCGUCCAAACGAACUAUUCAUCGAUCAUCAGAUAAUUCAUAAUCACUAUUCAUCAUUCAUCGGAUCAUUCAUCAUACUAUCCAUCGUUACUAUUCAUUGUUCAUCCGAUCGCCCAAAUAUUCAACUGCUCAUCCAUCAUGAUGAUGAGCUCACAUAAAACCUGCCAGACUAAUAUCUCAGCCAUACGAACUCUGGUGACUGUGAUUUUCCUUCUAGUUAGAACUUCACGGUUGGUCACACAUCCCAGAAUUGCUCUAAGUUGAGAACGCUUAACUUCGAGGUACUUUCGAACCAGGCUUUCAAAAAGAAAGGCGAACCAUGUUUGUAUAGAUAUGUAGCACUCCGAAAAUUCAAAUCUAGAAAAUUUCUCAAACUCGCUCUAAAUUCAAAAUGAACUUUUAAAUUUUGUUUCAAAAUGUUUAUUUGCAAGUUGAACUCAACAAAGAAAAUAUAGUGGUCUAUAUUCUCUCCAAAAUUCUCCUCAAAAAGACCUACAAAUAUUUUCCAAGUGAUCCCUUCAAAUUCUUUCAGAAAUAUUGCCUAAAUAUUCCAAAUAUUUUUGUAGUUUGUUCAUUCGUUCGUCCAAAUAAUCUUUGUUCAGUCGUUAUGCUGCCGAAAUUUCGAUCGUUCGUUCGUCCGAUCAUUCGAUCGUUCAUUUGUUCAUAAUCCCUAUUCAUUGUUCGUUCAUACGAACUAUUUAUCGUUCAUCGUUCGUUCAUAAUCCAUAUUCAUCGUUCAUCUUUCGUUCAUAUGAACUAUUCACCGUUAAACGGAUCAUUUAUAAUCAUUAUUCAUCGUUCAUCCUACUAUUCAUUGUUACUCCGAUCGCCCAAAUAUUCAACUUCUCAUCCAUCAUGAUGAUCAACUCACCUAAGACCUACCAGACCAAUAUCUCAGUCAUACGGACUCCGAGGACUGUGAUUUUCUUUCUAGUAAGAACUUCCCCUUUGGUCACCCAUCCAAGAAUUGCUCCAAGUUGAGCACGCUUAACUUUGAGGUUCUUUCGAAACAAGCUUCCAAAAAGAAAGGCGAAACAUGUUUGUAUGGAUACACCAUCAAUCUUAUAAAACUUGGCCCAAGAUACCACAGCCCGUCCAGACGAGAGUAUCACAGUAUUCCAGUUGUCUGGGUGCUGCCUUACUCUUGUCCGACAACAGAGAAGGUAGGAACAAUUGCCACCAACAUAAGUAUCUGCUCAUGAACAGUCCAGAAAUAAUUCAUGGCACUUUGCUUCCAAAUAUCUCUAAAUAUUCUAAUUUUGGAAUAUUCUAGGAAUAUUCCUUUUCCCUUUUCCUUUUAUAUUCCUAUGAUUAUAAAAACCAAAACUCCUUUGUCCAGUCUCUCAUUUUGACAGUUCUGAUUUCUAAAUUCUUAUCAAAUUACCCUCUAUCCAUCCAUGUAAUUCCGUAAGCAUGGUUCAUAUUCUAGAAAACUCCAAAAAUAGUCUUGUCCCAUAUUUCACCUAUAAUUUUCUAUCCAAACCGAUUCUUUCACCACGAUUCUCAUAAACAGUAAACUCUACCAUACUAAACCAUACGCACCCAUCUAUAAAUACCUCCAGAGAGUUACCCUCUCCCUUCCACACCCUCAACAACCUGAGCUAAGGCAACCACCCCCCGCACUCAGUUACCUCGCUCUGCCACUACACUUCUAGUAUUGGUCCACCUCCAAUACACUCUUCGGGUAAGCAUCUCUACUCCAUCAACACAAACUACACUCAAAACUAUAUUCACCCAUCUACCACCAUUCCUGACCACUAUAAUGAAUAUUUGUUGAUAUACUUGCUGAUUUGUAUGCUUGCUUGUUCAUGCUAUGUAGUUAUCGGAGCGUUCAUGCUGUCUCGUGAAGGCCAGUUCUACAAGUCUACGCCAGACGGUGGAGCCAGAAGCCAAUUCCACGAGCUCUCACCCUUUCACUGGUUAAAGCAUGGCAAGCUCACUGGAUCCCUUUGAUGCAUAAAUUACAUAUGUUUUUCAAAGACAAUCAUCAGCAUGUUAUUUUAUGCAUUAUAUGAUUUUUCUGCUAAGAGACAUGUUAAUAUGGCAACCCAACCUUAGAACUUUGCCGCAAUUCAUCUUUAUACUCCUUAACGUUUUUGUUACAAAAAGGUUUGAAAAAAGGUGUGAGUUUUUCAAAAUAAAAUGUUUUUCAAAAUGUGUAUGAUGAAGGGUUAUCACCCUUAUCACCUUUGAGUGGGAUGAUCAGGGACUCCUCGGUGUUAGGUGGGCCUUAAGGUGAUGGCUCAGCCGGGUUAGGUGUGAGAAUGAAGAAUUACCCCUCUCGUAUAAGGACCGGUAUGCCAUUCUUCACUGUCUAUAGUCUUAUCAAGUACAACCACUCUAGACCAUAUGGGCAGUCGCUUGAUCCAAACUUGCACGGUCGGCACCCUAGGGUUAUGUUGGCUAGCGAGCACCGGGAGGACAAGGAGGGGGAAAGUUUUGUCCUGGUUUGGGCAUGGAGGUGGCCAUGUUACUUUUGGUAUAACUGUUAAGGUAAAGACAUGUAGGGGAGGAGAGAGUUUCGGUAAUCCGAUCUCACGACGGUGAGAUUGCAGAAACCGGACUAUUGGGUGAAGUGUACACCUCUUCACAGAGUUUCAAAACCUAUUCGAAUAGUCCGCGUCCACAGAUUUGAAUGAGUUAUGACUUGGUUUGACAAUUAGUAUGUUGUUUUCCAAAAAUGCUUUUGACAAUUGGUUUCAAAAGUUUUGAUGGUUGAGCUGUGAGCUAUGGUGGACGGGAAGUCCAAUAGCUGUUUUUGAAAUUGAAAAUGAAAACCGUUGGGAAAUUACCGAGAUUCCUGGAUGGUUUAGUCUAGGGGAUUUUGUUCUAUAUAAAAAAAUUCCUGCUCCUUUGGAAGAGGAAGCAUUUUGAAAAAAGAUAAAAUGUUUUACAAAAUAGCCCUAAACCCUAAACCCUACUGCAUAGAGAACCCCCUACAGCAAGCAUGUUUACUAAUGCAGGACACCAAGACUUGCAGGACACCAAGACUAAAGAAUAUGUAUAACUAUUCACAAAAUUUCUUUGUACAUAUAACAUAGAAGAAAUUUUGAUUGUCCUCAAUGAACACAAUCAUGAUGAAAUAAUAACAGAAGGACAUUAAAUAAAAACGGUGUUAAUAAACGUAUAUGAGGUAACAAAAACAUAUAUAUCGUGAAAUGAUUUUUUGAGGUCAAAGUGCAAGGUGGCAAUAAAAUGAGAGAAUUCCCUAUUUAACGCUACUAUAUGAGUGCUUCCUUCUAUGGCCAUGAAAAUUACAUACUCAUUGGAUGCAAGAUCUAACUUUUAUUCUUAAUAACACUAAUGUUAACUAUUCCAUCAAGACAAUGAUGAGUGCCAUGUGGAAAGAUGGGGCUGCACUUAUGGUUUGCAAUUCUGCAAGUAACAGCUAGAGCAUCAGCUGGUGGAGCAUUUGUGUUUCAAGCAUUUGUGUUAAAAACCAUCCGAUAUCAAAAUUAGCAUUUGCGUUUUAAUUCCAUCCUUUGAUGUGUUUUUAUUUGCUAUCACCAUUACCUUGUUAUCCAUCGAUCUUGCCUUGAUACUUAUCUUUGUGCCUACUCUUUAAAAAUCUCCUCUCUUCCACCUCAAUUUGAGAGCGGCAAUUUACCUAUCUCGCCCUUGGACGUACCCUCUCCUUUUCCAUUUGAAGGUCCGGUCUUAACUCCAUUAUUUAUGGUACUUAUACCCUUCGUCUUAUGCCUAUUUAUCUCCUCUCAUACAUCCUUGUUUGUUAUUAGCUUAAAAACCCUCGUGAUAUCUUUGCCCAUGCCUUCCUGCUUACCUUGAACCUACCCUUUGAAGCCCCCUCUUUUCUAUCACUGUUCAAGGAUAAUGCCUCAUCUAUUUCAUCAUUCACUACUCCCCUUCUUUGACACCUUGCAAGUUUUAUCUAAAAUACAUUCAUUGGUUGUGUGUUUUUUUGUGAUCACCUUAACCCUUGUCAUCCAUCGAUCUUUUACCUUGAUGCUUAUCAUGUACCUGUAUUUUAAAGCUUCCUCUCCCAUUUGAGUUCAGGAGUGUUGUCUUACACCUCCUGCUCUUAUUCGUUCCCUAUUCCUCUGUCGUGUUGCAAGUCUUGUCUUAAGUCGAUCUUUUGGUGUGCUUUUUCCUGUUACCUCUUAUACCUUUGUAAUCACUAGAUCUUUCCAUGAUGCUUAUCUUAUGCCUACCUUUUGAAUCAUCAUCUUUCCCAUCUCGAUUUGAGAAUGGUGUUUUAUCUACCCUCACCUUGGUUGUAUUCUCUCUCUGUCGGUUACAAUCCUUGCUUUAGCCUCAUCCUUUAUUAUGCUCAUGCCCCUAUCCUGCAUGUCUUAUUAUUCCUCUUGCAUUUCGAUGGCCUUAGAGUAGUUUCCCCUUUGUAAGGAAAGACCACCAUCUAGUUAACAUUAACGUGUAGCAACGAGAUGUUUGUUGUUGUAUGCUUGUGCUGUUUGUCUUUGUGUUAUGACUGAUUUGCUUCUUUGUGAUGAGUGUUGGUGUGUUGUGGCCCCUAGGCCCGCAAUGACAUCCGUUUACUAGCUGAGUGCCAUAGAGUUAGGUAGCUGGGUGCUCUCCCUUUUCUCUUUAAUCCAUCUAUGCUUACCUUUGCUAUCUAUACCCUUCCCUCUUGCACCUGUCCAGUUGGCAUCCUGCAACCUCUCUUAAUCAGUCAAUAUCAGAGUCGGCAGCAUCUUCACCAAGUGUGUAUCAAUGCUCCUAGUAAGGGGGUUAGCUGCUAACCCCAAUGAAGACAAUGCGAUCAACAUCAGCCAACAAGAUCAAAGAGGUGUAGUGAAAGCGUGUGUGGGUCCUAACCCACAGGUCCAUGAGAUCCUUAAGAAUUAUAUCAAUUGGUUGCGAGCAUCUGAAGGUCAAAGCAACCAGUGCACAAGUUAAGCUUUCAGAGUCAAAUUCAACUCAAGAAAGUCGUGAACAACCUAUGAACCAACCUUGUUUUCUUGCUAGCGUCUUCUUGAUUCUCGGGGGGGGGGGAGAUUCCUGUUAAGUGGGUUAGAUUUGUAACACCAUGAAUUUGGGGGUAUAAAAUUUCUUUUCUAAUAUUCACCAAAUUCAGGUGUUACCCUCUCUUUUCCUUGCUUUUCUUUUUCUAAAUAGUGAAGAGUUAUUUUGUUUUAUAACUAUGCAAAAUCCUAGUAAAAUAAAAUCUUAGAGGAACUUUGAUUGUUGCAUUCAUGCUGAUACAUAGUGUUUAUGAGUGCAAAAUGUUAUCAUUACAGAUUAAAAUAUAUCGAGGAUGUUCCCAAGAGUUUUUGGAAUCUUCGGAAGGUUUCUUCGGGUAUGAAAUAUGAAUUUCAGUUUUUCUAAUAUUAAUUAAAUACCUAAAAUGUGGUAGUUGUGAAAACUAUAAAUUUUUUGGAACUCGAUAAUAUAUAUAUAUUUCUUCCUCUCGUCGAACCUAUUCUAGAUCUCGUGCCCCUUUUCGCGAGAUUACUGAACCGCGUCUUCUCGCGAACGGCAUGCUGCUUGCGUCGGCGAUCCUCCUCUAUCCUCGUCUUUCCCUUCGGCAUCCACCUCGUCAUCUUGGGCCCACGGGCCGGCUCUGACUGUCUUCGUCUAAUUUUAUCUAACCCUGUCUACCACCCAUCUAACUCUGUCUAACCCUGUCUCGUGCAACUCGCCGCGCAGCUGUCUCUCUCGCUCGGCCAGGACAAGAGCCGCUGUGAAAUUGACAACCACCUCUCGCGCCCUCUCCUUUCUAUACAUACCCUCUCCUUUAUAUACAAUCGUACACCCCUACCAUGAACCUCUUCCCUCUUCCUUCUCACACAUGAGCAGCCCACGCGUUUUCCUCUCUAUGCAUUGUGCCUUCGUGGUCUAAGGGGCCGCCUCGUCGUCUUCCUCACGUCGUCGGAGGAGCAGCCCCAUCGUCUUCCUCGCGUCGUCUUCCUCUUCAUUGCGUGCCUGCUCGGCUGUUCUUCAUGUGUAGGUGACAAAUCCUCUCCUUCUCCCUCUUCUUCGCCUCCUUCUUCCUCAUCACUACACAAACAUCAUGGCGGUCAAGGAGCUCGCACCAAACUCCCUACUCACCUAGCGACGCAGCUGGCCUAGCCCCUCACCGGUGCGGCCUGGCGUGCCCACGCAGCUAGCCCGCCUCGCCCCUAGCCGAGCUCGUGCAGCCACCCUGCGUGAUCCCUGGCCAGGCCGAUGUCUAGCCGAGCCUUCCCUGCCACGACACACCCUUGUAUGGUGCUGCUGCGCACCGCUCAGCCCCGACUCUGGCGAGCAGACACCACCGCCGUCAGCCCCACCCGCCAUAGUGCAUGCCACGUCGGCAUCACGCCCGCUCCGGCGGGCCAAUCCGUUUUCCUACUAUGGCCGUUCGUGCAGUAUGGAAUAGGAAAAAAAAGGAAACCACCCCGUGUGGCCCCACCUGCAUGCUCAUUCGUUGCCUAGCGCCGCGACGCGAUCUUCUCACUGCACACACGAUCGCAGCACGGAAAGGAGAACCGUCGUAGGCCCCUGCAUGUUCCUUCCUAUACGAUAUCCUCAUUGCACGUAAUGUGUGUGGGAAAGAAAACUGACAGCCACAUAUUAAUGCCUGGUUGGCCAUGUGCAACGUCGUUCCGUGUAUGGCCACACUAGAUCCGGUCGGUUUUUCUGUGUCUUCAAACCCGUGGCCAUCCGUGUGGUAAGUUUUAACCAAUGAAAAUACGAAGCAUCACAUUAAAUGCGCAAAAUAUUAAUUUUUUCAAUAUAUUUUACGUCACAAACAUGAUUUGACUAGUUUCAGUCGCGUUAACUUUGUAACCUCGUCAUGUAUGAGUCAGUAGCAUUGUUUUGUCGUAAACAUGUUUUAACUAAUUAAUUAAUUAUUUGUUAGUCUGAUUAAAACUAAUUUGUAAUUAAAUAUUAGCAUGAUUAAUGUCAACGUAAAUGUUUUCGAACUAAUACUUGUUUAGUAUAAUCUCGUUAUCUGUUAGCGAGUAUCAAGCGUCGUCACACUAUCUGCGCACAUCGUCACGCUGCUCACGCGUGAUGUGCUCGUUGACGUGCAGAUUCGCGCGUCGUUCACGCUGGUCGCGCACACUGUUUCGUGCGUCGUCCGCGUGCUAUGUCGCACGUGGCCGCACGUCGUUCACACGCUAUCGUGUUGUUUCGCGCGUCAUGAUUUCGCCUCGCUUAGAAUCUCUCUUUUUAAUUAAAUUACUUAUUUAAUGAUAGUUGUUCGUGUAGCAGAUUAAUCGAACUAAAUAGUAGAUAUAAUUUAUAUUUGAUAAAGUCGAAUUAAAUGUUAUAGUUAAUACCUGUUUGGCAUAAAUGCGAUAACUUCUUGACCAUAGCUCCGAUUUCCGCAUUUCUUUUCCUCGCGCCACCAUAGAAGCGAGCUUUAUUUUUUUUAUUGCAUGCUUUAUAUUAUUUUAUCUUGUAUGAUGUAAUGUUCUUAUGCAAGUAUAUGUUUGCUUGUGCUUGUUUGUCUUCGUUGUGCGUCGCUAAUAGAUUGCGAUCUGUUCCUGAGCUUCGAGGAAUCGACAAUCAAGAUUUGAUGAACCUCUGGUCCUGAGAUAAAGUUCUUUGAGUCCUACGAAGUCGAAGACCCUGAGCAUCGGUUUGGUGAAGGCAAGUGUCCUCUGACCUAUUGUGUCUCAUUUACUUUAUAAUUCAUCAACCCGCAUACCAUGAUCAACCUAAGGAUUGACUAGUAUUCUGUUUUCAUGUCCUUGUUUACCCUUUGGGUAUUGAUUAUUAUGAUUAGCUCUAUGCUAGCGCUUUACUUUUAAUCAAUGAACAUGAUGAGAUACAAUGAUGAUACUAUGAUUUUUUUCUGGAUAUGAUGAUAUACUUGUGGCAUUUUAGGGGACUCGAGCGGUUUCUCGAGCGCCUCUCCAUAAGGACUUGUUUGUUGGAUGACCACCCGGGAAAAUAGUGCAACCAUGAGGGUGGUAUGGGACGCCCUUAGCUAAUUAAUUAGAGGAACUGAGGUGUAGUUCACUUCGCCGUCGUGCCGUCAAUGGGCUAGGUGUAUGCGGCUCGCUCUGCCGAGGGUGGAUUGCCCCUUGGGGAGGAGUGCAGUACAUUUAGGAAACCUAACGGGCAGCUACACACUCAGGGAAUCUUUGUAAGGGUUUCGUAGUGAAUCCUUGGCCAUUCACCUCGAGAGUGAAUAAGGGUCUUGCAAGCCCGGGCUAGAGAGGGAAUCAUGGCUCGUGGGUAAAGUGCGCAACCUCUGCAGAGUGUUAUGAAACUAAUAUAUCAGGCGUGCUCGCGGUUAUGAGCGGCCUUGGGAGCUCCAUUGAUUAGAGACACAUUGAAUCAGGACUACUUUGUUUACAGAUGAUGAUGAGGAUAAUGCUGGUUUCUAUUGUGAUUAUGAUUAUGAUUAUGGUUUCUGGUAUUCCUUCCGUUUGGAAAGAGUACUUUUGGGUUAACAACUUGGGUUAAUGUUAAAACCUGGCUAUCUACUAGUAAUAGUUACCUGAUCAACUAAAAGCAACUGCUUGACCUUAACCCCACAUAAAGCUAGUCCACUACAGCCAAACGGGACAUUUGUUGAGUAUGUUGAUGUGUACUCACCCUUGCUUUCACAAAACACCAGGUUGCCUUUGGUGCAAUCUAUGCUCAGGUAAAGAAGGUGUCGAGGUGGAUCUCCAGGAGUUCCAGGACUUCGACGAGUUUGCGGAUUAGGCUAGCGACCUCCCCAAGUCAGCUGCCUAUUGUUGGAGACUUGUUCUCAAGUGCUAUGAAUUAAGAACAAGGCAACAUAAAGUGUUAAAUGUUAACGUCCUUCGUCCAUGAAACAUUAUUCCCUUGAGGAUAAUGGGCCUUGAACGAAGGUUGAUGAAAGAAUAAUUAUGAAGCUCAAGUCUUCGUAAUAAAAUUUCAAUAGGUAUUGUAAGAUGACAUAAAAUAAAAGGUAUAAAAGGGGGAAAUAAAUCAUAGACGAAUUAUAUUAUAUUUACUUAAUAUAUUGAAUCAUCAAAUACGAUAAUACCUCUGCCUUGGCAAAGGUUGAAUUCCAGAAUAUGCUAUUGCAAUUACCAGAAUCCGUGAACAGUAAAGGAAUAUUGUUCACUAUUUAUAGGCACAGGACGCAGCCUGUGAUGAAUUACAAGUAUGCCCCUUAUAAAAGCUUACAACAAUGACUCAGACCUUUAGGGACUAAAAGGUCAUUCUACCUUUAGGUCGGUUUGUAAUACCGAAGCUUCUCGAAGAGGAACCUUCGGCCAUCUUAUACAAACAGCUUCAGCCGAAGACCGCUUCUUCCUGUAAGACCUUCGGCGACGAAGCAUAGGCCCAACAGUAGCCCCUUUCGCGGUGCUAGAUCGUUUUUCGUAACGAGCUUGAUCCGUGAAAAAAGUCUCUUAGGCUUCGGAGAGCCGAAGGUCCAAAAAACACCUUCCCUGAGCUCGUUGUCGAGAAACGAUUCAAUUUCCCAGCGCGUAGCGGUCCCACUUUGCAGAGUUACUGUUUGGUCUCUGCGGUCCACCGCACAGCGAGUGUAAGCGGGUGUCCGCCUGGUGUAAAAAUCCUGGUGCUUCGCCUUCUUACCUGCAGUACUAUAUAAACAGACGAGUAGGUGUGAAGUUACCACAGCAUUCAUUGCUAUUUGCACUGUUCUGCUGCCAAAAUUUUUAACCAUCGCCAAAGCUUGUCUGUCGGAAUCAAACGAAGCUCCAGUUUGAAGCCUGCUUCGUCAGAAAAAACUUCGGAAGAAGAAAGUAUUAAAUUUCCACACGCUCGUAAUUAAAUGGCCAGAGUGCGUUCUACCGCCAGGGUUGAGCGUGAGGGGGGCGAAACUGAAGCUUCGGAGACUGUUCCCAUCUCCGAAGCCAUGCAACGAUCUGGGCUGGUGACUUCGGAAAAGAUCCCUAGUGAUGAUGCAGAACAAGCAGAACAAGCAAUUGCUGAAGCAGAAGAAGAAGAUAUUGAGGAAACUGAUCCCGAAGAUGAUUAUCGCAUUGCCAUGCCAAGCAAGCCCAGCCACUUGGACUUCGGGAAAUCUACUGUUUCGAAGGCUGAUCUGUCCAAGAUGGUAAAGUCAGGCUUUUUUACUGAAAAUCAGAAAAAGCUAUUACGCUUCGGGGGAGAAGAGACUACCCCAAAGCCGGAGAAGGAUGAAAUUGUUAUUUUCAAAAGCUUUCUAAAGGCUGGAUUAAGAUUCCCCCUACAUGGGAUUAUUGCAGAGGUACUGAAGAGGUUCGGUAUCUAUUUUCACCAGCUAACCCCUAACGCUAUCGUUAGGCUUAGCGUUUAUAUCUGGGCACUCCGAAGCCAAGCAGUGGAACCAUUUGCGGACAGCUUUUGCCGGGUUCACGAGCUGCAUUAUCAGACGAAGGCUAGAAAGGAUGGAUUGCAUGACAAUUUUGGUUGCUAUAACUUCGCCUAUCGGAAAACCACAAAGUUUCCGGUAAUCAGCUAUCGAAGCAAAUGGGCAGCAGGCUGGAAGUCGGAGUGGUUCUAUGUCAAGGUUGAUGACGACAAGGAGAAGCUUGUGCAAAGUCCACUCGAACUAAUCUUCGGAGAAACCCGACCUCGCUGUAACAUGACACCCGUAGGUCCAACACAACAAGCAAUGAACGAAUUCAGAAUUAUUGCAGAGCAUAUCAGUACAAGGGACCUGGUUCAGGAGUUUUUGGCUUUCAAAGUUUUUCCCAGUUUGAAAGAAUGGGAAAUGCCGAAGCUAAAGGGGGAGAAGAAAGAAGGUGAACUUGUACGUUUACCUUACUAUUUCAAGUUUAAGAAAUACUUUAAAGCGCCUUGCCAAGAGUGGCUAGACACAAUUGAAGUAAUGUGUAAUGAAAUACUUGGCAAUUAUUCCAAAAAAGAAGAUCAAUUAAUGACUGCGGCCUUCGGCACCCGUCCGAAGCGAAGACUGAACCGAGUGUUGGAUGCCUUGGGUUUUGAAUACCCUGACUAUGAAAAUCUGAACAAAGGUGCCGGAGGCCAGAAAAGGAAAAGGGUAACCGAAGCCUCAAAUGAAGAUGAAAAAGAGACACCAAAGAAGAAAAUUCCAAAGAAGAGGAAAGCGUCUUCUCCGAAACGGAAAAUAUCUGACGAAGAAAAAUCCCCCGCAUCACCCUCUGCCGCUGACGUUGAGGAAAUUCUGAAGGUAAUGACUGAAUCCUUACCUGCGAAGCUAAGUCCACUGGGGCCCCAACUGACAAAGUUUUUUCAGAAGGACAAGGAGCCCGAAAAAUUGAAGAAAAUAAUCAAAGCAAAGAGACAAAGAAUUAUCACUGUGACAGAAGUAAUUGACAAGACACCGCCAAGAGCUUCAGCUCAGAAAACACCAGCGGCUGCGGAAGGGACAGAUAUUGAAAUUACACCUUCGGAGGUCGCAGCUGCCGAAGCUGCCUCAGCUGAAGAUUUGAACCUGGAGAGAACAAUCGAAAACAUUGACAGAAUACUGCAAGAUAUGGCUGCGGAAGAAGCUACCACCGCCGCCGAAGAGGCCGCGACCGCAGCGUCGGAGAAAGGGAAAGAAAUUGCUGAUGAAGCUUCAGAAAACGAAGCCUUCAUGUUCCAGAAUUUAGUUGGGGAAAAACUAUCAAAAGCUGAAAUAGAAGAGCUUAGAGAGUAUGCCAAAUCCUGCGGAUACAAACCUGGAGCACUCCUCUUCGGAGGCGUUGAUGAUGAAAAAUUAGAUUGUAUUCGAGAUCAAACCGGAGCCAAAGUUAUCGGUACUCUGUCAAAGAGUAUCGGUUUUCCGAAGCUGGAGACAGACAUCAGCCGUUACCGACGACAACAUAUCGUUGGUAGUUUAUUUUAUUCCAAUUUCAAGGUGAACUACUUUUCCCUUAACUUUUAUUGUUUCUAAUAAUGAAAACACGUCUAACGAAGGUUGAUUUCGUGCAGAGUAUGCUGUUGAGCAAAGCCUUGAAAAUGCAGCAAGAUUUUGAAGACAAGAAGCACGAAGUUAUAAUUGAAAAUUUGGAAAGCAGAAUAAAGGAGCAAUCAGAUGCUAUCGAGAAAAAGAACUUCGAGCUCCAGGCGACCGAAGGUUCAUUGGCGGAAGCCGAAGCAAAAAUAACAGAACUGAACUCGAAGCUUCUUCGCCAAUCUGAGCAGUUCGAACGAGAGAAGCAAGACCUUAAUGCAAAACUUGAAGCCGAAGCUCAACAAAAUUCAGAUUUGAGAAAAUUAUUGACGAGCCUUCAAGAAAAAUGUUUGGAAUUUAGCAACAAAUGCAUUCAACGAUUAAGAAAGAUUUUCCACUCAGUUGGAGCCAGCAGUGAAAAAUUCACCCCCUCAGCUGAAGAUCUACCGAAGACCUUCGAACAUAUUGAGGGUGAGAUUGACGAGCUCGACGAAGUCAUAGCUGGGCACGGUGACUUCUGUGCCUGGGUGGCUUCUCGGGGCACUGCUGCAGCUUUCCUAAAAGCUGGCUGCGAUCAUGGAAAGAUUGUCAAUAGGCCAAAUUUCACUUUAUCACCAUCGAUCCUAGAUGAUAUUCCUGAUCUCGCCCGAAGUAUCUCUAACAGAUUUGUAAAAAUGAUAUGGACAAAAGGUGGGCGAGAAAAGGCUGGAGACGAAGCUCGAAGUCAUCUUGAACCAGUAAGAGAUUGUACCUUGCGCUUACCUCUCCCUUCAAGCUUGGUUUUGACUUACAACAACCUUAUUCAUGUAGGAUGACGAAGCCGAAGCUGAUGAUUAGAAAAUGACGCCGAAGCUGAAGCUCCUUGGAGAUUAAAUAGUAGACUGUAGACAGUACUUGAGAAACUUUUGAGAUAACUUUUGUAAAUGUAACUGAAACUUGUCAUUCUGUUCAUACCUUGUAAUAUAUCCUUAUCCUUCCAUUGAUGUAUGAGAAGUGCUUUGAUGUGGACGAAAUUUUCUUUUUUGAGCUGAAGGCGAAAAAACACCUUCCCUUCUUUUCGUACGCAGCGAAGCAUAGAAAACAACAUUUCCCUCUUUUCCGAAGCUCUCCUUUUUGUACACGAAGCUCUUUCUUCCCCCCUUUUUUUUCUUUUUGCCGAAGCAACCGCUUAUGCCAUGAUGAUGAUUAUCCUACAUAUGCCUGGAUGAAUGUUUAUGAAUGCAAAUGCUAUGAUGUAAUGUGAUGUGCAAAUGAAUGGCCAAACACGUACCCGAAGCCAUACUCAUAGCCAUUGUUUCCUUAAAAACAAACACACCUCAGCUCUGCAUUCCCUUAGGAACGACUUUGGAGCUUCUUCGCCUUUACUUUUGGCGGAAUCAGCGUUGACUUUUCGCUGUAAGCUCUGCAUUCCCUUAGGAACGACUUUGGAGCUUCUUCGCCUUUACUUUUGGCGGUAUCAGCGUUGACUUUUCGCUGUAAGCUCUGCAUUCCCUUAGGAACGACUUUGGAGCUUCUUCGCCUUUACUUUUGGCGGUAUCAGCGUUGACUUUUCGCUGUAAGCUCUGCAUUCCCUUAGGAACGACUUUGGAGCUUCUUCACCUUUACUUUUCGGCACUCGACGGUGCGUUCUCAGCUUUUACAUUUACAUUCCUUGGGGGAUUUUGCUCUUAUAGAACUAAAAAAGGAAAUUACAUGUGAUGGCCCCAUUAAAAACCUUUCUCCCCCUUCAGAAAGGAAAAGGGUGCCAUGAAAGAAAAAUAAAAAAUGUGAAAAAUUACAUCGAGUUACACAUAGUAUCGCCGAAGCUCAUCCGCAUUCCAAGAUCUAGGAAUGUCGUUGCCGUCCAUAUCCUUCAAUCUGUAUGAACCGGGUCUUGACGAAGAUGCUACUAAGAAAGGUCCGUCCCAUUUCAGCUGCAACUUGCCCACUGUAUCUGGAUUGGCCACUCUCCGAAGCACCAAAUGUCCUGGCUCAAUAUUCUUUAGCCGAACUUUUCUAUCUCGCCACUUGAUUGUUUCGGCUUGAUAUUUAUUGAUGUUCUCCACGGCUUGCAGCCUGAUCCCUUCUAAAGCAUCUUUUUCCACAGAAUAAGCAGCUUCGAAACCUGAUUCUGCCGAAGCUACUACUCUUAUUGAUCCGGUUUUAGCUUCCUCCGGAGUUAUUGCUUCGUCAUCGAAUAAUAACUUGAAUGGAGUAAAGCCUGUAGACCUUGAUGUUGUCGUAUUGUGGCUCCACACCACUUUGGUUAACUGAUCUGGCCACUUUCCCCUGGGUUGAUUGAAGAUUAACUUCAUUAUUCCUGUCAUUAUGAUGCCAUUGGCUCUUUCAACGAGUCCAUUUGACUCCGGAUGUCUGACUGAUGCAAAAUGGAUCUUCGUACCAAUUUGAUCACAGAAAUCCCUGAAAGCUUCGGAGUCAAACUGUGUUCCGUUAUCCACAGUAAUAGCCUUUGGUACCCCGAAACGACAAACAAUAUUCUGCCAGAAAAACUUUUGGACGGUGGCCGAAGUUAUUGUGGCUAAAGGCUUUGCCUCGAUCCAUUUAGAAAAAUAUUCCACCGCCACUACAACAUAUCUUAGGUUCCCUUGGGCCGGUGGUAACGGACCUAACAAGUCAAGGCCCCACCUUUGCAAUGGCCAAAUGGGUUGUAUGAGCUGUGUUAAGGACGAAGGUUGUUUUUGAUCUCUUGCACAUUUCUGACAACCUUCGCACUUUUGGACUAAUUCCGCUGCAUCCGAAGCUGCCUUCGGCCAAUAAAAUCCUUGGCGGAAAUUUUUUCCAAGUAACGGCCUAGAUCCAAUGUGAGAUCCACACAGGCCUGCAUGUAUUUCUUUCAUCAACUCUAUACCUUCGGUUCUGGAUAAACACUUGAGUAGCGGAGCACAAACUCCAUGCUUGUACAACUCCCCUUCUAUGAUGACAUAUGGACGAGCUCUUGCCUCUAUCCUCCUGUUAUAAGCUUCGUCAUCUGAAAGGAAUUUUCCCUGAAGGUAAGAGAUGAUCUCAGUUCUCCAAUCUUCGCUAUAAACAGGAGAUAUAUUGAGGACUGCUCUUUCAAGAAGUUCCACCAAAGGUGCUUUUAUUGUUUCGAAGAACACAUCCGAAGGUAAAGGCAGCCCCUGUGCUGCUGACUUAGCUAGCAAAUCAGCAUGCUCAUUUUGUCCUCGAGGGAUAUUUUUGACAGAAAAUCCUUCGAAUGAAGCUUCAACUCUUCGAACCAUAUCCAGAUAUUUUUCAAGCUUCGGAUCUUUAGCCUUGCAACUCUUGUCAAUAUGACCCGAAACAACCUGGGAAUCAGUUUUAAGUAUGGCCCUUCUGAUUCCCAUUGCUUUUAGCUUCCGAAGACCCAGAAGCAAGGCUUCGUACUCAGCAAUGUUAUUUGUGGAACUAAAAUCAAGUUUUGCCGCAUAGCAAGUUUUAACUUUGGAAGGUGAAACCAGCACAGCAGCAGCUCCCGCUCCGAAGGUUCCCCAAGAUCCAUCACAAAACACUGUCCAUGCUUCGGCGUCUUUAUUUGUUUCUUCCUCCUGAGCCCCUGGCGUCCAGUCAGCAAUGAAGUCUGCUAACGCCUGGGACUGUAUCGAAGAUCUAUGAACAUAUUCAAUACAAAAUUCAUUGAGAUCUGUGGCCCAUUUUCCAAUCCUUCCAGUAGCUUCUCGGUUCCUCAUAAUAUCCUUCAGAGGUUGUGAAGAAGGAACAAUUAUGUUGUAAGCUUGAAAAUAAUGCCGAAGCUUCCUGGAUGCCAUCAAAAUAGCAUAUAACACUUUCUCUAAUUCUGUGUAGUUUUUCUUUGACAUACUAAGAACUUCAGAUACAAAAUACACUGGGACCUGCCUCUUGACUUGGCCAUCAAGCUUCUCCUGGACCAGUGCUGCACUUACCGCUGAGUGCGAAGCUGCCACAUAUAAUAACAAAGGAGCCCCUGGCGUAGGUGGAGUUAGUGCUGUUAGAUCAAUCAAAUACUGUUUCAGCUCUUCGAAGGCCUUCUGCUGGAUUGGUCCCCAUUGAAAGACUUCGGCUGACUUCAGCACUUCGAAGAAUGGUAAGUUUCUCUCUGCUGAUCUGGAUAUGAAUCUAUUGAGAGAUGCCAACCUUCCUGUCAACCUUUGAGCCCCCUUUUUUGUAGUUGGUGGCUCCAUCCGAAGUAUAGCUUCAAUCUUAUUUGGAUUAGCUUCGAUUCCCUUUGUUGAAACCAAGCAUCCUAGAAAUUUCCCCUUCUUUACUCCGAAGACGCAUUUUUUCUGGAUUCAACUUUAAGCCAGCUUGCCUGAAACUGGCAAAGGUCUCCUGCAAAUCAGCAAUAUGAUUCUCCUGUUUCGUGCUUUUUACAAUGAUGUCAUCAACAUAAGUUAGCACAUUCCUGCCUAUCUGAGACUGGAGAACCUUCGCAGUCAUUCUGCUGAAACUUCCUCCAGCGUUUUUGAGCCCCUCAGGCAUCCGAAGAUAGCAAUAUGUGCCACUUGGGGUUAUGAAGCUAGUCUUCGGCUCAUCUUCCUUCUUCAUCCAGAUUUGGUGAUAGCCUGAGUAACAGUCUAGCAGACUCAUGAGCUCUGAAGAAGCUGCUGCAUCAACUAAAGAGUCUAUCCUUGGCAAUGGGAAUUCAUCCUUCGGACAAGCCUUGUUAAGAUCUGUAAAAUCGAUACACAUUCGCCACUUGCCAUUGGCCUUUUUUACCAUAACAGUGUUAGCUAACCAUUCUGGGUACUUUACUUCUCUGAUAACUCCUGCAGUGAGGAGUCUUUUGACUUCGUUACGAGCACCUUCGGCCUUAUCAUCAGACAUUUUCCGAAGCCUCUGCUUUCUGGGUCUGAAGGAUGGGUCAACAUUGAGCGAGUGCUCAAUAACAUCCCUAUUUACUCCGCAGAGAUCAUUAGCUGACCAUGCAAAAACAUCUUUGUUGUUGAACAAAAACCUUAUCAAGGUUUUCUCCUGCUCUUCGGAUAAUUGAGAGCCUAACAGCACCUUCUGCUCUGCUAUGUCUUCACAUAAGAGCAUAGGCUUCGGCUGAUCUGAUGAAGCUGCUUUCUCCCUUCUAAAUUUGUACUGUUCACAAGCUUCAGCUCCAUCUAUGUUAUGGAUUGCUUUUGAGUCAGUCCAAUUGCCUUCGGCCCUUCUGGCAGCUUCCUGACUUCCAUGAAUAGCGAUGGGUCCUUGAUCCGAAGGUAUCUUCAUGCAAAGAUAGGCAGGAUGAAGAAUUGCUUCGAAAGCAUUGAGUGUGCCACGACCAAUAAUUGCAUUGUAAGGGUAUUCCAUGUCAACAAUGUCAAACACAACUUGCUUAGUUCUAGUGUUGUUGAUGAACCCGAAGGUUACUGACAUGGUGAUCUUGCCCAGUGCCACAAUCUGUCUUCCUCCGAAGCCACAGAGAGGAUGUGUAGCAUCAUGAAUCUUAUCUUCUGGCUCUUGCAUUUGUCUGAAGGCCUUAGCAAAUAUGAUAUCAGCUGCACUGCCUGUGUCAACCAAGACAUUGUGGACCAGAAAUCCUUUGAUAACACAAGAGAUAACCAUGGCAUCGUUGUGUGGGUAAUCCUUGAGCUGAAGGUCCUCUUGGGAGAAGGUAAUAGGAAUGUGAGACCAUCUUGACUUGAUGAAGGGUCCUUGCACCCCAACAUGCUGUACCCUUCUAUGUGCUUCCUUCUUUUGUUUCUUGUUAGCUGGCUCUGAGGACAAACCACCUGUGAUCGGGAGCACCAGCUUCGGGUCCGAAGCAGCUCCAGCUUGGUCGUUGAACGAAGCCAUCAGCUCAAAAAGUGGAAGUGAGUUCACCGGAGGUGGGCGCCAAUGUUGGAGACUUAUUCUCAAGUGCUAUGAAUUAAGAACAAGGCAACAUAAAGUGUUAAAUGUUAACGUCCUUCGUCCAUGAAACAUUAUUCCCUUGAGGAUAAUGGGCCUUGAACGAAGGUUGAUGAAAGAAUAAUUACGAAGCUCAAGUCUUCGUAAUAAAAUUUCAAUAGGUAUUGUAAGAUGACAUAAAAUAAAAGGUAUAAAAGGGGGAAAUAAAUCAUAGACGAAUUAUAUUAUAUUUACUUAAUAUAUUGAAUCAUCAAAUACGAUAAUACCUCUGCCUUGGCAAAGGUUGAAUUCCAGAAUAUGCUAUUGCAAUUACCAGAAUCCGUGAACAGUAAAGGAAUACUGUUCACUAUUUAUAGGCACAGGACGCAGCCUGUGAUGAAUUACAAGUAUGCCCCUUAUAAAAGCUUACAACAAUGACUCAGACCUUUAGGGACUAAAAGGUCAUUCUACCUUUAGGUCGGUUUGUAAUACCGAAGCUUCUCGAAGAGGAACCUUCGGCCAUCUUAUACAAACAGCUUCAGCCGAAGACCGCUUCUUCCUGUAAGACCUUCGGCGACGAAGCAUAGGCCCAACACCUAUGGUGGGUUAAUUUACGUUGGCUACGUUUCAAUUCUGUGUACUUUGAUUUAUAUUAUGUAAAUGACUCUAGUCUUUAAUAUUAUUACUUACUCUUUAUUGUUAUUCGAAGCAUUGUGCUAUGAUGAGUCAUUUAUGUAAUCGCUAUGUACGUGAGUUCUGAUCCUGGCACGUACAUGGUUCGCAUUCGGUUUACCUUCUAAAACCUGGGGUGACAGGUGGCAUAGCAGGAGUGGAGGGCAGCGACGGCUGCACAGCUCUGCGUGCAAUGGCUUGCAUUUUUUGCUCCUCGUUGGCGAUGCGUGUGCGACCAUGAGCUCUCGACACAGGCAGGUAGUAGUAGAGCAAGAAUUGUAACCUUGGGUUUUCCCACACCUCAAAUAGAUAUAGAUAUAGGGAUAUAGAUAGAUAUAGCAAAUUCACCAAAUAAUAUAGGGGUAUAGAUAUAGAUAUAAUAAGGGGUAUAGAUAUAGAUAUAGACAUAUAGAAGAUAUAGAUAGAUAAAUAGAUAUGAUAGAAUAGAUAACUUACAAUUUUGUCUAAAAGAAACUAAAUCACUGCUAAGUUUGGAGUAGCAUAUCUUUGGUGAAUACUUGCUAGUGAAUUGGUUUCCGCUAUAGUAUAUAUAUAUAUAUAUAAGUAUAAACUCUUCUAGGAUUAUAGUAUAUAUAUAAGUAUACACUCUUCUAGGAUCAAUCGUGAGGAGUUCCUUAAAUUGUCUUGCGACAUGGAGUACAGAAAGAGGGUGGAUGCGCUAGUGUUUUUCUCGUUACUUCUCGGAUACUUUGCUGCUCAUGCACAUGGGAAGGGUAAGUGAAAACUAUACAGACAUGUGUGUGCAUGCUUAGAUAGAUCUAGACAAUUUAGAAGAUGUUAUUAUAUGAUACCGUGUGUGUAUCAUGGCGAAUUGCUAAUGUAUCGCAAUCCCCUGUGUUAAAUUACUCAAAUAAUUUCGAAUGUAAUUAUUCUCGAGGCAUUUGUUGGUAAUAGAACUCUUAUCCUAUACCUUCUACUAGGUCAUGUCACAGAUGAUGUCGGUGUUUCUACUCCAGCUAAAGAAGGAAUUAUGCAAGGAAACGGAGCACGAUGUGUUGUAGGGUUUCCUCCAUGCAAAGAUAACAAGUGCUACUGCUGCAUUGGGGGGCGAACUCAUGCUCGCUACUCUACGAUGGCUGAGUGUAGACAUGCCUGCUUCUAAACAAAAAUUAAGAUCGCUGUUAUUAUAUACAUUGUAAUGGUAGGUAAUGCUAUUAAUAAUAUAUGGGAAUUUUAGUUUUGGUAUUAUACUUUUUUCCAAUUCACAAAAUUUAGUCAAAAUCUAACCAGUUUUUUAGAGGACUUAAAUAUAAAGUAUAUUUCCCUAUAAAUUUUAAUGAAAAAAAUAUUAGAAUGCUUUGGGAUGCCUCCAUCAGCUCGUGGAUGCUGUUGCGGAUAGACAACAGUAUCGGUAUAAAUCUCACUGCACAGAAUGAGGACGUUUCUAGGAGAACGUGCAUUCGGUCACGUUAGCGGAAAAAUCCUGAGUAGCAGUAGUUGCCUCCCAUAUCGGUGUCAACACCACGAAUGUUUCGUGCGACACAGAAGGUUUGCGGCUUGCUGUGGCAUUAAUCCGGCUGCGGCUUGUACAGUAUUUUGUCUCUAUGGAUUGCAGCUGCAGCCGUCUGAACAUCUGCAGGUCCUGUGGUUACAGGGCAGCCGAACAAGUCGUUGGUGCGAGGUCGGAGCAGUGGCAACCUGAUGCUCAAGGUGGUUCCAGAUGUCCACUCAGACAGAUGCUAGAGGCUUUUGGAUGCGACAUGCCUCUUCAGGGGAAGUGGAUCCUAAAGCCGAUGUUGCCCGCUAGGAGCAGGGUGCUCCAAGCCAAGAAACAUCCCAGAAAGGGAAGGAGGUGGCGCCGAACGAGGGUGGAUCAAGCGACGAUCGCAAUAGGUCACCCGAUUGGGGAGACUCCUCGCAAAUAGUAACGAUAAGGUCAUUAGGACCUUUUGGGGGCACAUGGCACGAUCAUGAGAGUUAGACUUCCUUGUUAGACUUUCUUUUUUUGCCACAUCCUUACAUCUAUUUUCUCAGCCCUAUGACGUCAGCCCCUUGUAGCACCCCAAAAAUGCAAACCUAGAAAAUUUCUCAAACUCGCUCUAAAUUCAAAAUGAAUUUUAAAUUUUGUUUCAAAAUGUUUUCUUGCGAGUUGAUCUCAACAAAAAAAAUAUAGUGGUCUGCCUUAUCUCCGAAAUUCUUUUCAAAAUAUCCUACAAAUAUUUCCCUAGUGAUCCCCUCAAAUUCUUUUCAGAAAUACUGGCUAAAUGUUCCACCGAUAUUUCUCCAAAUAUUUUUCUCCUAAGAAAUACCCUCGGAAUCACUUUUAAAAUCCCUACAAAUAUUUUCUUAAUAAUUUUCCUUAUGCUCAUACAUAUACAUACGCCUCCGGGGUCAUACAGUGAGCUCUACAAGCUAAUUUCACUUAUCCAUAGCUAAUACAUGGUUUAUCUCUCACUAAUCCUCGCCUCCUCCCACUAAUCCUCGACUCCUUCGCCUAAUCCCCCACCUUGCCCAUUAAUAAAGGGGCAAGGGGCCCACUCAUGCCAUCCCAAGCCAUUUCAUGGCUACUCAAUCCCACUCACUAACUUACUCCCACUCCGACACAAGCACAACACGCGCACAAGGAUAAUUCGGUUGUUCAUUCAAUUGUUCGUCCAAAUGUUCAUAGUUCAUUCGUUCGUUCCUCCGAUUGUUCGAUCAUCCAUCCGAUAGUUCAUGGUUCAUUUGUUCAUCCGUCCGAUCAUUCGAUCGUUCGUUCGUUCGUGUCCAAAUAAUCUUUGUCCAGCCAUUAUACUGACAAAAUUCUGAUCGCUCUUUCGUCCGAUCGUUCAUCCGUUCGUUCAUAAUCCAUGUUCAUCGUUCGUUCCUAUGAACUAUUCAUUGUUUGUUCAUAAUACCUAUUCAUCGUUCGUCCAAACGAACUAUUCAUCGUUCAUCGAAUAAUUCAUAAUCACUAUUCAUCGUUCAUCGGAUCGUUCAUCCUACUAACCAUCGUUACUUAUUAUUGUUCAUCUGAUCGCCCAAAUAUUCAACUACUCAUCCAUCAUGAUGAUGAGCUCACCUAAAACCUGCUAGACUAAUAUCUCAGCCAUACAAACUCUGGUGACUGUGAUUUUCCUUCCAGUUAGAACUUCACGAUUGGUCACCCAUCCCAGAAUUGCUCUAAGUUGAGAACGCUUAACUUCGAGGUUCUUUCGAACCAGGCUUUCAAAAAGAAAGGCGAACCAUGUUUGUACAGAUAUGUAGCACCCCGAAAAUUCAAAUCUAGAAAAUUUCUCAAACUCGCUCUAAAUUCAAAAUGAACUUUUAAAUUUUGUUUCAAAAUGUUUAUUUGCAAGUUGAUCUCAACAAAGAAAAUAUAGUGGUCUAUAUUCUCUCCAAAAUUCUCCUCAAAAAGACCUACAAAUAUUUUCCAAGUGAUCCCUUCAAAUUCUUUCAGAAAUAUUGCCUAAAUAUUCCAAAUAUUUUUGUAGUUUGUUCAUUCGUUCGUCCAAAUAAUCUUUGUUCAGUCGUUAUGCUGCCAAAAUUCCGAUCGUUCGUUUGUUCAUUAUCCCUAUUCAUUGUUCGUUCAUACAAACUAUUUAUCGUUCAUCGUUCCUUCAUAAUCCAUAUUCAUCGUUCAUCUUUCGUUCAUAUGAACUAUUCACCGUUAAACGGAUCAUUCAUAAUCAUUAUUCAUCGUUCAUCCUACUAUACAUUGUUACUCCGAUCUCCCAAAUAUUCAACUUCUCAUCCAUCAUGAUGAUCAACUCACCUAAGACCUACCAGACCAAUAUCUCAGUCAUACAGACUCCGGGGACUGUGAUUUUCUUUCUAGUAAGAACUUCCCCUUUGGUCACCCAUCCAAGAAUUGCUCCAAGUUGAGCACGCUUAACUUUAAGGUUCUUUCGAAACAAGCUUCCAAAAAGAAAGGUGAAACAUGUUUGUAUGGAUACACCGUCAAUCUUAUAAAUCCUGGCCCAAGAUACCACAGCCCGUCCAGACGAGAAUAUCGCAGUAUUCCAGUUGUUUGGGUGCUGCCUUACUCUUGUCCGACAACAGAGAAGGUAGGAACAAUUGCCACCAACAUAAGUAUCUGCUCAUGAACAGUCCAGAAAUAAUUCAUGGCACUUUGCUUCCAAAUAUCUCUAAAUAUUGUAAUUUUGGAAUAUUCUAGGAAUAUUCCUUUUCCCUUUUCCUUUUAUAUUCCUAUGAUUAUAAAAACCAAAACUCCUUUGUCCAGUCUCUCAUUUUGACAGUUCUGAUUUCUAAAUUCUUAUCAAAUUACCCUCUAUCCAUCCAUGUAAUUCCGUAAGCAUGGUUCAUAUUGUAGAAAACUCCAAAAAUAGUCUUGUCCCAUAUUUCACCUAUAAUUUUCUAUCCAAACUGAUUCUUUCACCACGAUUCUCAUAAACAGUAAACUCUACCAUACUAAACCAUACGCACCCAUCUAUAAAUACCUCCAGAGAGUUACCCUCUCCCUUCCACACCCUCAACAACCUGAGCUAAGGCAACCACCCCCCGCACUCAGUUACCUCCCUCUGCCACUACACUUCUAGUAUUGGUCCACCUCCAAUACACUCUUCGGGUAAGCAUCUCUACUCCAUCAACACAAACUAUACUCAAAACUAUAUUCACCCAUCUACCACCAUUCCUGACCACUAUAAUGAAUAUUUGUUGAUAUACUUGCUGAUUUGUAUGCUUGCUUGUUCAUGCUAUGUAGUUAUCGGAGCGUUCAUGCUGUCUUGUGAAGGCCAGUUCUGCAAGUCUACGCCAGACGGUGGAGCCAGAAGCCAAUUCCACGAGCUCUCACCCUUUCACUGGUUAAAGCAUGGCAAGCUCACUGGAUCCCUUUGAUGCAUAAAUUACAUAUGUUUUUCAAAGACAAUCAUCAGCAUGUUAUUUUAUGCAUUAUAUGAUUUUUCUGCUAAGAGACAUGUUAAUAUGGCAACCUAGCCUUAGAACUUUGCCGCAAUUCAUCUUUAUACUCCUUAACAUUUUUGUUACAAAAAGGUUUGAAAAAAGGUGUGAGUUUUUCAAAAUAAAAUGUUUUUCAAAAUGUGUAUGAUGAAUGGUUAUCACCCUUAUCACCUUUGAGUGGGAUGAUCAGGGACUCCUCGGUGUUGGGUGGGCCUUAAGGUGAUGGCUUAGCCCGGUUAGGUGUGAGAAUGAAGAAUUACCCCUCUCGUAUAAGGACCGGUAUGCCAUUCUUCACUGUCUAUAGUCUUUUCAAGUACAACCACUCAAGACCAUAUGGGCAGUCACUUGAUCCAAACUUGCACGGUCGGCACCCUAGGGUUAUGUUGGCUGGCGAGCACCAGGAGGACAAGGAGGGGGAAAGUUUUGUCCUGGUUUGGGCAUGGAGGUGGCCAUGUUACUUUUGGUAUAACUGUUAAGGUAAAGACAUGUAGGGGAGGAGAGAGUUUCGGUAAUCCGAUCUCACGACGGUGAGAUUGCAGAAACCGGACUAUUGGGUGAAGUGUACACCUCUUCACAGAGUUUCAAAACCUAUUCGAAUAGUCCGCGUCCACGGAUAUGAAUGAGUUAUGACUUGGUUUGACAAUUAGUAUGUUGUUUUCCAAAAAUGCUUUUGACAAUUGGUUUCAAAAGUUUUGAUGGUUGAGUUGUGAGCUAUGGUGGACGGGAAGUCCAAUAGCUGUUUUUGAAAUUGAAAAUGAAAACCGUUGGGAAAUUACCGAGAUUCCUGGAUGGUUUAGUCUAGGGGAUUUUGUUCUAUAUAAAAAAAUUCCUGCUCCUUUGGAAGAGGAAGCAUUUUGAAAAAAGAUAAAAUGUUUUACAAAAUAGCCCUAAACCCUAAACCAUAAACCCUACUGCAUAGAGAACCCCCUACAUCAAGCAUGUUUACUAAUGCAGGACACCAAGACUUGCAGGACACCAAGACUAAAGAAUAUGUAUAACUAUUCACAGAAUUUCUUUGUACAUAUAACAUAGAAGAAAUUUUGAUUGUCCUCAAUGAACACAAUCAGGAUGAAAUAAUAACAGAAGGACAUUAAAUAAAAACAGUGUUAAUAAACGUAGAUGAGGUAACAAAAACAUAUAUCUCGUGAAAUGAUUUUUUGAGGUCAAAGUGCAAGGUGGCAAUAAAAUGAGAGAAUUCCCUAUUUAACGCUACUAUAUGAGUGCUUCCUUCUAUGGCCAUGAAAAUUACAUACUCAAUGGAUGCAGGAUCUAACUUUUAUUCUUAAUAACACUAAUGUUAACUAUUCCAUCAAGACAAUGAUGAGUGCCAUGUGAAAAGAUGGGGCUGCACUUAUGGUUUGCAAUUCUGCAAGUAACAGCUAGAGCAUCAGGUGGUGGAGCAUUUGUGUUUCAAGCAUUUGUGUUAAAAACCAUCCGAUAUCAAAAUUAGCAUUUGUGUUUUAAUUCCAUCCUUUGAUGUGUUUUUAUUUGCUAUCACCAUUACCUUGUUAUCCAUCGAUCUUGCCUUGAUACUUAUCUUUGUGCCUACUCUUUAAAACCUCCUCUCUUCCACCUCAAUUUGAGAGCGGCAAUUUACCUAUCUCGCCCUUGGACGUACCCUCUCCUUUUCCAUUUGAAGGUCCGGUAUUAACUCCAUUAUUUAUGGUACUUAUACCCUUCGUCUUAUGCCUAUUUAUCUCCUCUCAUACAUCCUUGUCUGUUAUUACCUUAAAAACCCUCAUGAUAUCUAUGCCCAUGCCUUCCUGCUUACCUUGAACCUACCCUUUGAAGCCCCCUCUUUUCCAUCACUGUUCAAGGAUAAUGCCUCAUCUAUUUCAUCAUUCACUACUCCCUUUCUUUGACACCUUGCAAGUUUUAUCUAAAAUACAUUCAUUGGUUGUGUGUUUUUUUGUGAUCACCUUAACCCUUGUCAUCCAUCGAUCUUGCACCUUGAUGCUUAUCAUGUACCUGUAUUUUAAAGCUUCCUCUCCCAUUUGAGUUCAUGAGUGUUGUCUUACACCUCCUGCUCUUAUUCGUUCCCUAUUCCUCUGUCGUGUUGCAAGUUGUAACACCCCAGGUGUUACUCAGGGUGUCCAUCCCAGGGUUACCCCCUUUUACCCAUUAUCACAUGAAGACUGAUUUGGGCAAAGUAUACCAAACUUGGAAUUCUAGGUCCUAAGCAAGUGUAAUCCACCUUGGAUGUCAUGCCCUAGCUUAUCAUGCACAUCUAAGUGGGGUUCUCCCAAAACCCUAAAGCAAAACCCCCAUAGGCAAUGGGAACCCUAAUUGAAGCCAUGAUCAAAAGAUUAUGUAAACCUUAUGAUCAUGGUUUGGGCCAAAUAUAAAAGUUGUAGUACACUUAAUAACCUACAAUUAAUAGUAAGGAAGUACCCCCAAAAAGUUUCCAGAAAAGCCCUAAACAGUUCACCUAAGAUUUAGCACAAGGGAAAAUUCAGUUUUUGCCUAAGUACAAAAACUAACCCUUGCACAAAGACUCCACAUGUUCACCUUAAUCCCCUUUUCAAAACCCUUCGACCCAAUUGACAAAAUGGCGCCAAAUUAACCCUAGGACACCCUGGAAAGAGAUGACACCUACCCUAGGGCGCUAGACACGACUUGACACCCCUUUUGUCUCGGUUCGGGCUUGGCUGACACAGCAAACUUCUCCCCUCUCUAUCUCCCUACCCCGACCAUAUCUCGACUUGGAACUCACAGCGAAAAGAUAGGAUUUGGAGCAGAGAAGCGACCGUACACAGUGACUUUGCCAAGAUACGCACGCUAUGGCGCUCUAAUCGGCCGUUGAACCAUGGCAGAAGCAAGCUUCCACGUGUUCGACGCGAGCUGGCAUCCGGGGGCGCGCUCAGAGCACGCCCGUGCGCGAACCCCCGCGCACCCGCGGCCGCCCGUGACCACGCCCGCGCCACGGCUAUAAAGCCCGCCCCAGUGCUUGGCUGCCUUCCCCGUUACCUCCUCCGUACCUCGCCGGACUCGCCCGAGCCAGCCAUUAACUCCGGCGACCUCCCCGCGACCCGCCAGUGCCGCCCGAGAGCAACCACCGUGGCCAGCCCCUCUCCCGUCCUCCUCCGUUCGAUCCAAGCCCUCAGAGAGCUUCCUGGUGAAGCCGUGAGUCUUGCUCAAGCUUGACCCAGGGACCCGCGUCACCGGAAUAGCCCAAUCGUGCGCACCGGAGUUCAAGAACCCGCCGGCGCACGUGGACCGGGUAAGCCCCUGCACCAUUUUCCAAUUCCUUGCGCGUAUGGCCUCUGUGUCACCCCGUGAAGCUCCUCGUGCACCCUAAUUGAUCUAUGCCGCCGUGGUUUGGCCGGAGCAGGAGCCGCCGACGACCCCCACCGCCUGUGCUCGUGGCCAGGGUAGCUCCGACCACCUCCGACACCGACCCGCACAUCGGCGUGACCGUUGCGACCUCCUGGACGUCACUGACCACCCCGCCGGAGCUCUACUGCCGCCGGUAAGCCCCACCGCCGUAAAAUGUACCGCGGGCACUGUUUAAGCCGGUCAGGGAGCGCGGGUUAGAUUUUAGUUAAGUCCAGGGGGCUUGGCGCAAUGUCAGUGACUCAAGCCAAUAGUGGACCAAGGGCUGUUCUGUGAGAAAAGAAAAGGAAAAACCCCAGGGGCCUCGGCGUAAACACGUUUUCUUUUUCUAUUUUCGAAUUUCUUUUCUUUUGUUAAAACAGAUAGCUAAGUAAAUGCAUAACUUGCAGAAUAAUCAUCCAAAAAUGUUCAAACCAAUUUUGCUAGAUUCAGAAAUUUAUGAGCUAUCAGAGAAAAAUAAUAGAACCCAUAGCUUCUGUAUUUCUUUCUGAAGUUUAGAAUUAAAUAAGGAAACCACUCAAAACCCAAUAUUAGGAGGAAAAAUAGGAAUAUUGUUUGACCAGGGUUAGAAAAAUUUGGAGAAACUUCUAUCUACCUACUAGACCAAGUAAAAAUGUUAAACCUCUCUGUCCACUCCAUUUAAGUUAGUUUUACCCUUUAUUCUAUAAUAUGCUUAAGAAUAAGGAAAAUAGAAAAUGCAACUUAAUUAAUGAACCAGAGAGUACUUCUAUUUUUGUUAGGUUACUUAUUCAAUAUAGUUCACUGGAAAAAUAUAUCAUACCUUGGUUUAGUACAAAUUAAGUAGGAUAUCUUUUAUUUUAUUAAAACAAGGAUAACUUAGAAAAACCCUACAAAAAUGACCCCAAGGUAAAAACACCCCCACCCUUGGGAUGACUAUUGUUUUAUUAGAGAGAACUUAGGAAAAAUAUGAAAUCUGCUGUUUGACAUUUUUCAAAUAAUAUUGUAGUAGAAAGUGCCAUUUUGACAUUAAACUUAAGAAAAGCAUAACUAAAUAACCACCCCUUAGUUUUCUGUAAUUUUUAGCACAGAAACCUAUUAUUACCAUAGGAUGCCAACAAAAAUACCUUUAGGCAGAACCCACCCCUAACUAAGAGGUGUAGUGUGAAGUGGCCCAUUUUGCCUAACUUUUGUUAUUUUUGUUUAAAGCCUAACUUUUAUACUUUAAGCCUCAAAUUCUUAAAACAAGCUAGAAUAGCCAGUGAUAACCCACUGGAAUUUUUACAGAAUUUUUGGAAAAUUUUAAAACCCUGUUGUAGUUCAAACCUACCCCAGAAACCCUAAAUGGAAAUUAAGGAAAGGAAAAUGAAUAAUGGAAAUUUAUGUCAUCUUAAGACCUUUGUAAAUUGUCCACUGAAAUCUAUAAAUACAACACCAAUCCACUAUAAUAAUCUAAAAGAAAACCUAAUCUUAAAAGGUAAUAAGUCUAUAUCUAUGUAUACCACUGGAAGCCCAGCGUGACUAAGAAAACCCUAAGUUACUUCUUAACUUAGUUUCUUUAGCUUAUUGUUCUUAAAUCCUGCAUAAUCAUGACAUACAUGUUCAUUGCAUUUCGAUAGACUGUAAUCUUGCUGACGGAGAGUACAUCCUCGUGCCGGAGCAAGGAGCUGCUCAGGAGGUAGCCCCAGAUCCAGCACCCGAGCCUGCACCAGAGGACCUGCCUGCCACAGCUUUGGAAGGCAAGCCCCGGUUUUAUGCAUAACCUGUUAUUAUACUAGUUUACUUCACUUAAUGCUUGUAGGAUUGAUUGUGCACUUAAGUGUAGGAAUUGUUUGAAACCCUAGUUGCAUGAUCUCAGGAAUCCCAUUGAGAUGAAUACUAGUAUGAUAGGUCGAGUAGUUGCUUUAUUUAAUUAGGAUCUCGGUAGAAGACGAGUGAUUUUUCUAGCACUCGCGCGAGAUCAGGGAUUUGACUGUACCCACUUUCACAUUAUCAUGGUACUGGUUGAUGGACAACAAUCCAUGGGGAUUGGUUGUCUACGAGAUGAAAUUUGAAUAAGGAUUAAGGUGUGGUACCGUGUGUCAAGCGUUUGAACGUACUAAACACAUACCGAGAAAUAUGGUAAAUCGGUAAGCCUAGUACCUGAUUGAACCUGGCAGUAGACUUUGCCCCUCACGCGACCUGAGACGAGGUCUCCCAUUCCGGUUAUGGUGGGUACAAGUGCGGUCACUGCACGACGGCCAGUCGGGGUCAGUGAGGCAUUGUAAGCCAAGGCGGUGAGCCCUGUUCUGCUGACGAGGAAUCGAUGGGGACGGUUGAUAUGUGUGGGGACGGAGUGCCCCUGCAUGUCGUGUGUUUAGGUUUACCUUGCAAGGAUAAAAACUCGAUUCGAAUCGUCUACUUCUCGCAGUUAAUGAGACUGCUUGAUCCAUGCUGCUACAUUGAGUAAUAAGUGGAAGUAUGAUGAGUUGAGAUAAGAUGUUGAUUGUUAAUAAUGCUUGCUACCAUGUAUGAGUAGAUAGUUCACUUUUAGCCUUAAGAGAGUCACACUUAACUUUGACUAAGUUAAAAUCUUGAUUUAGAAACUCAGCUAGUGCUUUUGGCAACCAAACCCCACAUCCAAACAGCUGCAUGUCUAGAGGUAGAGGAGUAGACUCCUCACACCGGGUAAGUCUAGCUGAGUAUUAGUAUACUCAGCCUUGCUUGUGGCAUAAUUUUUACAGGUUCUCUGGAGGAGAUGGUUGCUGGGAUAACUUGGCCGUCCACCUUGCCACCGGGUUGGACUGUUGAGUGGGACCCUGCCUCGGCCGAGGAGGAGCAUGAGGAGUGAUGGGACAGGCUUCCCCAUCUCUCUGUUUGAUUACCGUUAGUUUUAUUCCGCUGCACUUCGAACAAUGAUGGUUACUUUUGCAAAAACUCCGAUGAUGAUGAUGGUGAUGUAAUAAUUUAACAUUGUGACAUGAAUGGUUUUAUGCUUUAUUGUAUUUGCUCUGUGACUCACCUUCGAGUGAGAUUGUGGUACUUGAUCCUGUCAGUGGCCGUGUCGAACUAGAUCCGAGGGAUUGACGGGUUAUUCCCAUUUAAGUGUGGUCUAGCCUCUGAGGCGGGAUUUGGGCACUUAAGUUGGAAUAAUUCGGGCAGUUCCGCCAGAGCUGGUAUCGGAGCUUGUACCACCACAGAGGAAUCAAUAAAAUGUAAAUACCAUCAAUUUUUCUAAAUAAAAACUGAAUAGAAACAAGGUUGGAUAGAUAGCAGGACGAUCAGGAUAGACCUAGGACGUGAAGCCUUAAGAUAAGAGAAGGGUAGCUAGGUGGCUAAGUAACUAGGCCCUACAGGCCACUUUUACAGGAUGGGAGUUCCUCCCUAUUCCUUUUAUCUUGUUGUGAGGCCGUUCAGGACGAGCAUGCAUGCAUUCAUAAUUAAGCAAUGGAUAACUGAGUAAAGGACUUAAAAACAAGAUAACAACCAACUAGGUCCCUAGUGCCUUUUUACUUAACUAGAGAAGGGCUGAGUUUUAUUUUCCUUGUUCUUUUUAUAAUUCUUUUUCUUUUACAUACGCUUAACCGUACACAGAUGACUUCCCACGGAUCCUCCGAUGACGGAAAUGCACUGACCCACACUGACGGACUUGCACGAGAGGGCUUUCCCCGCAUUUUGUGGGAAGUACUUCAGGGGGCCGGAUAAACGACACCCCCUCAGUACGCGGUGCAGCAGUUCGAGAAGCACCGAGUGCCUCGCUGUAGGGUGAGGAUGACCUUGGAGCCUCAUCCCCUGCAGCCAGGAUGGCGCUCCUUGGACUCCGAGUCUUUCGGGUACCGAGCAGAGGACACGAUCGAGGCGAUCGCUCUGCAUGGGUUGACUACCUUCUGUGGAUUCCAUCCCUUGGAGCUGGCUACCCACCCCAUUGGCUUGUUCCCCGCUGAGAAGGAGGACGACCCAAUGUGGAAGGAUCGGGUGGAGCAUGCCAAGGACAUCUGGGCCAUCUACCCAGGUCAGACUGCGCAUUUGACAGUACGGUGCAUGAAUGCUCUGUACCGUCUGCAGGUGAUGCGCGGUGAGGCAAUGUCCCAUCUGAUGGCACUGCUGGAAGCAACAAAGAUCACGCUGGAUAACUGAGAGGAGCUCGUGGUUGACCUAUCUCAGGAAAUGGUGGAGAAGGAUUUGCAGGUGGAGCAGCUAUCCACUGAUAUUCAGGAGUUGGAGGAGCUGGUAGGCACCAGGGAGAACACCAUCGAGGUUCUCGAGGAUCAGCUCGUUAACACUCAGCAGCAGCUUGCUGAGGCUAACGAGCACCUGGACAUGCAUCACCAAGAGAUCCAGGACCAGGAGGCCAACGAGGACGUCGACAUUGAGGGAGGAGAUGAGCCUGCCUCCAGUGUGGACACCGCUGGCUCGGGAAGACCACCUUCCCCCGAGUCAAGUGUUGCUUCGUUCGCUCACUAGGUGUCCAGGGUAGGCUUAGAAGUUGGACAGUCGGACUCCUCGCAGCUAGCUUAGCUUUUGCACCCUUGGGGUACUAGGCUAGGUAGAGUUGAGUCAUUUUGGAACAAUUUGAUGUAACCGUGUUGAACUCUCUUGGGAGCUUGUUUGAUGGAUGCUAUUAUCAGUUUAAAUUUGGAAGGAGAAUAUUAUGCCUCUUUAAACUCCCUUUUUUUGAAGUUAGAGCCUAUCAUGCUGUUUUAACUUUUUCCCCGUGAUGAAAUCUUGAAAUUUGAACUGUGGUGUUAAGUAAGUAUGUGGUUUUUCAGAUGGCCGGAAGGCAGCGUCGUGGCCAGAACGAGCGCGUUCCUCCACCGCCACCACCACCUCCCACUCUGCAGGAGCUCAUGGCUCAGCAGAAUGAGAUCCUGAGGCAGCUUGCUCAACGUCAGCCACCACCUCAGCAUUAUGGUGGUGGGGACCACCAACGUCACCCCGCGGCGGCCACCUAUCAGGAAUUCCUCAGCACCCAGCCUCCACUGUUCACAAGGGCGGAGGACCCACUUGACGCAGAUGUAUGGCUGCGAGUGGUGGAAUCCAAAUUCCCACUACUCCAUGGAGUUUGCUCAGAGGUCACCAAAGUCAGGUUCGCCACCCAGCAGCUUCGCGGACCUGCAAGGACUUGGUGGGAUCAUUUUCUUGCUAUGCAGCCAGAGGACCGAGAGGUGGAGUGGAGGGAGUUUAAGGCAGCUUUUAGAGGACACCAUAUACCCGCCGGGAUCAUGGACAGGAAACUCAAUGAGUUCUUGGCACUCACUCAGGGCAACAGGACAGUGUUGUAGUAUGCCCAGGCCUUUAAUGACUUGUGCCAGUACGCGGGGUAUCAUGCAGAUACAGAUGAGAAGAAGAGGGACAGAUUCAGAAGGGGGCUCAGCACUAAGCUCCGGGAUCGUCUCAACACCGUCAGGGCCAACAGCUACAAUGAGUUGGUAAACAUGGCUAUCUCCCAAGAGGACUGCAUUACAGCUAGGCAGGCAGAAAAGAAGAGGAAGACCCCCGUGGCGGGACCCUCAGCUCAGCCACAUCGCUUCAGGAUUGUGUCCGACACCCAGGGCAGGGGGCCCCAGCAGCAGCAAGGGCGAUGGGUAAUCCGACCUCAGCAGCAGCAGCAGCAGGCACCCAACCGCACCCAAUUUCCAGUUCAGAGGGGCAAUCAACAGCAGCAGCAGUACCGCCAAGCCAAUGACAACAGGUGCUUCACUUGUGGCAACACUGGGCAUUAUGUCAAGAAUUGCCCCAGGAACCAGCAGAGGCAGGGGCAGAAUGUCAAUCAGAACCAAGGCAAGAGACAGAAGGUGCAAGUGAGGCAGGGCAGGCUGAACUUCACCACCAUGGCUGAUAUCCCAGAGGGAGCACCCGUCUUGACUGGUAUCUUUACAGUUUUGAAUUAUCCUGCUAUUGUUCUUUUUGAUUCUGGUGCAUCACACAGUUUUAUCAGUACCAAAUUUAGUGCCAAGUGCCAAUUGCCUUUUCACCACACCAAUGGGGGUAUCACAAUCUCAACACCAGGAGGCAGGGUUGCCUCCUAUCAGAUCUGUAGGCACGUACCAAUUAAGCUGGGUAGUCUCAUCUUCAAAACUACCUUAAUGAUAAUGGGAUUGGAUAGUGUGGAUAUCAUCUUAGGGACUGAUUGGUUGUCACGACACCACGCAGUGAUUGAUGUCGCAGCUAGAGCCAUAGAACUCCGCUCCCCUUUGGAUGGUGAGAUUACCUUAUAUCUACCCGACCAGGGAUGCACCCGUUCUUGUGCCUUUGUUAUGGUAGAAUCCCCAGUGGAAAAGAUCCCAGUGGUCUGUGACUAUCCGGAUGUUUUUCCGGAUGAAUUGCCAGGAAUGCCACCUGACCGAGAUAUUGAGUUCGCCAUCGAAUUGCAACCCGGGACCGCUCCUAUCUCCAAGAGACCCUAUAGGAUGCCUCCCGCGGAAUUGGCAGAAUUGAAGAAACAAUUGCAAGAGUUGUUGGACAAGGGGUUUAUUCGUCCAAGCACUUCACCAUGGGGAUGUCCAGCAUUAUUUGUGAAGAAAAAGGAUGAGAGUUUGAGGAUAUGUGUUGACUACCGCCCUCUCAAUGCGGUGACCAUAAAGAACAAAUACCCGUUGCCUCGCAUUGAUGUUCUGUUUGAUCAGUUGGUUGGAGCCAAGGUAUUCUCCAAGAUAGACCUUCGCUCAGGAUACCAUCAGAUCAUGAUCCGCGCUAGCGAUAUUCCCAAGACGGCUUUCUCUACCAGAUAUGGACUGUAUGAGUUUCUGGUGAUGUCUUUUGGGCUGACCAAUGCCCCGGCUUAUUUCAUGUACCUGAUGAAUUCAGUAUUUAUGCCAGAAUUGGAUAAGUUCGUGGUUGUCUUCAUUGAUGAUAUUCUGGUUUAUUCCAAAAAUGAAGACGAACAUGCUGAGCACCUGCACAUUGUGCUUCAACGACUGCGCGAUCAUCAUCUUUAUGCUAAGUUGUCUAAGUGUGAGUUCUGGCUGAAGGAGAUUAAAUUCUUGGGUCACACAAUUUCUCAGGAUGGGAUAUCAGUUGAUCCUGAGAAGGUGCAAGAGGUAAUGGAUUGGAAACCCCCGACUACAGUGAAGCAGAUUCGGAGUUUUCUGGGAUUAGCAGGGUAUUAUCGACGAUUUAUUCCGGAUUUCUCCAGAAUUGCCAAGCCAAUGACUGAGCUGUUGAAAAAGGGAGUCAAAUUUGAGUGGAGCCAAAAGUGUGAAGAUGCCUUCCAUACCUUGAGGCAGCAUUUGACAACAGCCCCAGUGCUGGCCCAACCUGACAACACCAAGCCAUUUGAAGUUUAUUGUGAUGCUUCUGGUACCGGAUUGGGAUGUGUUUUGAUGCAAGAGAAUAGAGUGAUUGCUUAUGCUUCCCGGGCACUCAGGCCCCAUGAGCAGAACUACCCUACACAUGAUCUAGAAUUAGCAGCUGUAGUUCAUGCUCUGAAGAUUUGGAGACACUACCUGAUGGGAGCUCACUGUAACAUCUACACUGAUCACAAGAGUCUCAAAUACAUCUUCACUCAGGCAGAUCUGAACAUGAGGCAAAGGAGAUGGUUAGAGCUGAUCAAGGACUAUGAUUUAGAAGUGCAUUACCACCCAGGUAAGGCCAAUGUUGUGGCAGAUGCCUUGAGCAGAAAGGCCCAGUGUAAUUGUAUGGGCAUGGAUGUGGGAGUGACCACCCUGUGUGAUGAAUUGUGCAAACUGAACCUGGAAGUUGUUUCUUCGGGUAAACUAAGCUAUAUCUCGGUGGAGCCCACAUUGCAAGAACAGAUUGUCAGGGAACAGGUUGAGGAUAAGGGUGUUCAGGUUAUCAAAGAUAUGAUCAAGCAAAAGGCAGAAAAAUACAAGUGUUUCCGACAGGAUAGCAAGGGAAUUCUAUGGUUUGGAGAUCGAUUGGUUGUUCCCAAAGACCCUGAGCUUAGAAAGAAGAUACUAGAUGAAGCUCACCUUUCAAAAUUCUCCAUGCACCCUGGUAGCAACAAGAUGUACCAUGAUCUCAGAUCUCUAUAUUGGUGGACUAGAAUGAAAAGGGAAAUUGCCAAGUACAUAUCCGAGUGUGAUACUUGCCAGAGGAUAAAGGCUAGUCACUUGAAGGCAGCAGGCCCUUUGCAACCCCUUCCCAUACCAUCUUGGAAAUGGGAGGACAUUUGUAUGGACUUCAUAGUGGGAUUACCCAAUACCUCCAGGCACCAUGAUUCUAUUUGGGUUAUCGUGGACAGGUUGACCAAGACUGCUCAUUUCUUGCCAGUGCAUACCACCCACAGGGCAGAGAAGUACGCUGAAAUUUAUGUUGAUCAGAUAGUAAGGUUGCAUGGUAUCCCCAAAACCAUUAUAUCUGACAGAGGAGCACCAUUUGUGGCACGAUUUUGGGAGUAACUGCAAGAGUCACUUGGGACCCAUGUCAUCCGAAGCUCAGCAUACCACCCCCAAACAGAUGGCCAGACAGAAAGGGUGAAUCAAAUUUUGGAAGACAUGUUGCGAGCAUGUGCACUACAUUAUGGAAAGGAUUGGGACAAGUGUCUGUCUUUGGCAGAAUUUUCUUACAAUAACAGCUAUCAGUCCAGUUUGAAGAUGGCACCUUUCGAGGCAUUAUAUGGGAGAAGGUGUAGGACCCCACUUAAUUGGUCUCAAGCAGGAGAAAGGGAAAUUUUUGGGCCAGACUUGGUACUCGAGGCAGAGGCAAAGGUCAGGGUGAUUACCAAAAACUUGGAAGCUGCUCAGGCUAGGCAAAGGAGCUAUCAUGAUAAGAGGCGGAAGCCUCUACAGUUUGAGGUGGGAGAUCAUGUCUAUCUUAAGGUAUCACCCACCAAGGGUGUUCAGAGAUUCGGGAUCAAGGGCAAGUUAGCCCCUCGCUAUAUUGGACCCUACGAGAUCAAGGAGGCUUGUGGACCCGUAGCCUAUCAAGUGGAAUUGCCACCUCACAUGUCAGCAGUUCAUAAUGUGUUCCAUGUAUCUCAGCUGCGGAAAUGCGUUCGUCUACCCACUGAAGUACUCCCGGAACCAGACAUUGAGAUAGAACCAGACUUAUCCUACCAAGAGUACCCCGUCAAGGUAUUAGAUCAAAAGGAGAGAUCAACUCGGGUAAGGUCGGUCAGAAUGUAUAAAGUUCAGUGGAGUCACCAUUCAGCAGAAGAGGCUACAUGGGAGACUGAGGAUUUUCUACGCUCUCGCUUCCCCGACUUUCUACCCAAAGGAGUCGGUAUGUAACCCCAAAACCCCACCCCCCACCUGCCCUUUGAAUUCAAUUAUAAGAAAAACUUAGAUAACAAGGAUAGUCUAAGUUGUGGAUUUAACUUAAGAAGGGCUUCCUUCUGAAGUUGCAAAGAGGAUGACAUUCGAAGAGCAGUUAAUAACAGAAACUUAAGUGUGAAGGAAAAACAACACCAGCACACCUUCAAGCACCCUCCAAGGGACUCUACCUAAAUCUCGGGACGAGAUUCCUUUAAGGGGGGAUGGCUGUAACACCCCAGGUGUUACUCAGGGUGUCCAUCCCAGGGUUACCCUCUUUUACCCAUUAUCACAUGAAGACUGAUUUGGGCAAAGUAUACCAAACUUGGAAUUCUAGGUCCUAAGCAAGUGUAAUCCACCUUGGAUGUCAUGCCCUAGCUUAUCAUGCACAUCUAAGUGGGGAUCUCCCAAAACCCUAAAGCAAAACCCCCAUAGGCAAUGGGAACCCUAAUUGAAGCCAUGAUCAAAAGAUUAUGUAAACCUUAUGAUCAUGGUUUGGGCCAAAUAUAAAAGUUGUAGUACACUUAAUAACCUACAAUUAAUAGUAAGGAAGUACCCCCAAAAAGUUUCCAGAAAAGCCCUAAACAGUUCACCUAAGAUUUAGCACAAGGGAAAAUUCAGUUUUUGCCUAAGUACAAAAACUAACCCUUGCACAAAGACUCCACAUGUUCACCUUAAUCCCCUUUUCAAAACCCUUCGACCCAAUUGACAAAAUGGCGCCAAAUUAACCCUAGGACACCCUGGAAAGAGAUGACACCUACCCUAGGGCGCUAGACACGACUUGACACCCCUUUUGUCUCGGUUCGGGCUUGGCUGACACAGCAAACUUCUCCCCUCUCUAUCUCCCUACCCCGACCAUAUCUCGACUUGGAACUCACAGCGAAAAGAUAGGAUUUGGAGCAGAGAAGCGACCGUACACAGUGACUUUGCCAAGAUACGCACGCUAUGGCGCUCUAAUCGGCCGUUGAACCAUGGCAGAAGCAAGCUUCCACGUGUUCGACGCGAGCUGGCAUCCGGGGGCGCGCUCAGAGCACGCCCGUGCGCGAACCCCCGCGCACCCGCGGCCGCCUGUGACCACGCCCGCGCCACGGCUAUAAAGCCCGCCCCAGUGCUUGGCUGCCUUCCCCGUUACCUCCUCCGUACCUCGCCGGACUCGCCCGAGCCAGCCAUUAACUCCGGCGACCUCCCCGCGACCCGCCAGUGCCGCCCGAGAGCAACCACCGUGGCCAGCCCCUCUCCCGUCCUCCUCCGUUCGAUCCAAGCCCUCAGAGAGCUUCCUGGUGAAGCCGUGAGUCUUGCUCAAGCUUGACCCAGGGACCCGCGUCACCGGAAUAGCCCAAUCGUGCGCACCGGAGUUCAAGAACCCGCCGGCGCACGUGGACCGGGUAAGCCCCUGCACCAUUUUCCAAUUCCUUGCGCGUAUGGCCUCUGUGUCACCCCGUGAAGCUCCUCGUGCACCCUAAUUGAUCUAUGCCGCCGUGGUUUGGCCGGAGCAGGAGCCGCCGACGACCCCCGCCGCCUGUGCUCGUGGCCAGGGUAGCUCCGACCACCUCCGACACCGACCCGCACAUCGGCGUGACCGUUGCGACCUCCUGGACGUCACUGACCACCCCGCCGGAGCUCUACUGCCGCCGGUAAGCCCCACCGCCGUAAAAUGUACCGCGGGCACUGUUUAAGCCGGUCAGGGAGCGCGGGUUAGAUUUUAGUUAAGUCCAGGGGGCUUGGCGCAAUGUCAGUGACUCAAGCCAAUAGUGGACCAAGGGCUGUUCUGUGAGAAAAGAAAAGGAAAAACCCCAGGGGCCUCGGCGUAAACACGUUUUCUUUUUCUAUUUUCGAAUUUCUUUUCUUUUGUUAAAACAGAUAGCUAAGUAAAUGCAUAACUUGCAGAAUAAUCAUCCAAAAAUGUUCAAACCAAUUUUGCUAGAUUCAGAAAUUUAUGAGCUAUCAGAGAAAAAUAAUAGAACCCAUAGCUUCUGUAUUUCUUUCUGAAGUUUAGAAUUAAAUAAGGAAACCACUCAAAACCCAAUAUUAGGAGGAAAAUAGGAAUAUUGUUUGACCAGGGUUAGAAAAAUUUGGAGAAACUUCUAUCUACCUACUAGACCAAGUAAAAAUGGUAAACCUCUCUAUCCACUCCAUUUAAGUUAGUUUUACCCUUUAUUCUAUAAUAUGCUUAAGAAUAAGGAAAAUAGAAAAUGCAACUUAAUUAAUGAACCAGAGAGUACUUCUAUUUUUGUUAGGUUACUUAUUCAAUAUAGUUCACUGGAAAAAUAUAUCAUACCUUGGUUUAGUACAAAUUAAGUAGGAUAUCUUUUAUUUUAUUAAAACAAGGAUAACUUAGAAAAACCCUACAAAAAUGACCCCAAGGUAAAAACACCCCCACCCUUGGGAUGACUAUUGUUUUAUUAGAGAGAACUUAGGAAAAAUAUGAAAUCUGCUGUUUGACAUUUUUCAAAUAAUAAUGUAGUAGAAAGUGCCUUUUUGACAUUAAACUUAAGAAAAGCAUAACUAAAUAACCACCCCUUAGUUUUCUGUAAUUUUUAGCACAGAAACCUAUUAUUACCAUAGGAUGCCAACAAAAAUACCUUUAGGGCAGAACCCACCCCUAACUAAGAGGUGUAGUGUGAAGUGGCCCAUUUUGCCUAACUUUUGUUAUUUUUGUUUAAAGCCUAACUUUUAUACUUUAAGCCUCAAAUUCUUAAAACAAGCUAGAAUAGCCAGUGAUAACCCACUGGAAUUUUUACAGAAUUUUUGGAAAAUUUUAAAACCCUGUUGUAGUUCAAACCUACCCCAGAAACCCUAAAUGGAAAUUAAGGAAAGGAAAAUGAAUAAUGGAAAUUUAUGUCAUCUUAAGACCUUUGUAAAUUGUCCACUGAAAUCUAUAAAGACAACACCAAUCCACUAUAAUAAUCUAAAAGAAAACCUAAUCUUAAAAGGUAAUAAGUCUAUAUCUAUGUAUACCACUGGAAGCCCAGCGUGACUAAGAAAACCCUAAGUUACUUCUUAACUUAGUUUCUUUAGCUUAUUGUUCUUAAAUCCUGCAUAAUCAUGACAUACAUGUUCAUUGCAUUUCGAUAGACUGUAAUCUUGCUGACGGAGAGUACAUCCUCGUGCCGGAGCAAGGAGCUGCUCAGGAGGUAGCCCUAGAUCCAGCACCCGAGCCUGCACCAGAGGACCUGCCUGCCACAGCUUUGGAAGGCAAGCCCUGGUUUUAUGCAUAACCUAUUAUUAUACCAUUUUACUUCACUUAAUGCUUGUAGGAUUGAUUGUGCAAUUAAGUGUAGGAAUUGUUUGAAACCCUAGUUGCAUGAUCUUAGGAAUCCCAUUGAGAUGAAUACUAGUAUGAUAGGUCGAGUAGUUGCUUUAUUUAAUUAGGAUCUCGGUAGAAGACGAGUGAUUUUUCUAGCACUCGCGCGAGAUCAGGGAUUUGACUGUACCCACUUUCACAUUAUCAUGGUACUGGUUGAUGGACAACAAUCCAUGGGGAUUGGUUGUCUACGAGAUGAAAUUUGAAUAAGGAUUAAGGUGUGGUACCGUGUGUCAAGCGUUUGAACGUACUAAACACAUACCGAGAAAUAUGGUAAAUCGGUAAGCCUAGUACCUGAUUGAACCUGGCAGUAGACUUUGCCCCUCACACGACCUGAGACGAGGUCUCCCAUUCCGGUUAUGGUGGGUACAAGUGCGGUCACUGCAUGACGGCCAGUCGGGGUCAGUGAGGCAUUGUACGCCAAGGCGGUGAGCCCUGUUCUGCUGACGGGGAAUCGAUGGGGACGGUUGAUAUGUGUGGGGACGGAGUGCCCCUGCAUGUCGUGUGUUUAGGUUUACCUUGCAAGGAUAAAAACUCGAUUCGAAUCGUCUGCUUCUCGCAGUUAAUGAGACUGCUUGAUCCAUGCUGCUACAUUGAGUAAUAAGUGGAAGUAUGAUGAGUUGAGAUAAGAUGUUGAUUGUUAAUAAUGCUUGCUACCAUGUAUGAGUAGAUAGUUCACUUUUAGCCUUAAGAGAGUCACACUUAACUUUGACUAAGUUAAAAUCUUAAUUUAGAAACUCAGCUAGUGCUUUUGGCAACCAAACCCCACAGCCAAACAGCUGCAUGUCUAGAGGUAGAGGAGUAGACUCCUCACACCGGGUAAGUCUAGCUGAGUAUUAGUAUACUCAGCCUUGCUUGUGGCAUAAUUUUUACAGGUUCUCUGGAGGAGAUGGUUGCUGGGAAAACUUGGCCGUCCACCUUGCCACCGGGUUGGACUGUUGAGUGGGACCCUGCCUCGGCCGAGGAGGAGCAUGAGGAGUGAUGGGACAGGCUUCCCCAUCUCUCUGUUUGAUUACCGUUAGUUUUAUUCCGCUGCACUUCGAACAAUGAUGGUUACUUUUGCAAAAACUCCGAUGAUGAUGAUGGUGAUGUAAUAAUUUAACAUUGUGACAUGAAUGGUUUUAUGCUUCAUUGUAUUUGCUCUGUGACUCACCUUCGAGUGAGAUUGUGGUACUUGAUCCUGUCAGUGGCCGUGUCGGACUAGAUCCGAGGGAUUGACGGGUUAUUCCCAUUUAAGUGUGGUCUAGCCUCUGAGGCGGGAUUUGGGCACUUAAGUUGGAAUAAUUCGGGCAGUUCCGCCACACAAGUCUUGUCUUAAGUCGAUCUUUUGGUGUGCUUUUUCCUGUUACCUCUUAUACCUUUGUAAUCACUAGAUCUUUCCAUGAUGCUUAUCUUAUGCCUACCUUUUGAAUCAUCAUCUUUCCCAUCUCGAUUUGAGAAUGGUGUUUUAUCUACCCUCACCUUGGUUGUAUUCUCUCUCUGUCGGUUACAAUCCUUGCUUUAGCCCCAUCCUUUAUUAUGCUCAUGCCCCUAUCCUGCAUGUCUUAUUAUUCCCCUUGCCUUUCGAUGGCCUUAGAGUAGUUUCCCCUUUGUAAGGAAAGACCACCAUCUAGUUAACAUUAACGUGUAGCAACGAGAUGUUUGUUGUUGUAUGCUUGUGCUGUUUGUCUUUGUGUUAUGACUGAUUUGCUUCUUUGUGAUGAGUGUUGGUGUGUUGUGGCCCCUAGGUCCGCAAUGACAUCCGUUUACUAGCUGAGUGCCAUAGAGUUAGGUAGCUGGGUGCUCUCCCUUUUCUCUUUAAUCCAUCUAUGCUUACCUUUGCUAUCUAUACCCUUCCCUCUUGCACCUAUCCGGCUGGCAUCCUGCAACCUCUCUUAAUCAGUCAAUAUCAUAGUCGGCAGCAUCUUCACCAAGUGUGUAUCAAUGCUUCUAGUAAGGGGGUUAGCUGCUAACCCCAAUGAAGACAAUGCGAUCAACAUCAACCAACAAGAUCAAAGAGGUGUAGUGAAAGCGUGUGUGGGUCCUAACCCACAGGUCCAAGGGAUCCUUAAGAAUUAUAUCAAUUGGUUGCGAGCAUCUGAAGGUCAAAGCAACCAGUCCACAAGUUAAGCUUUCAGAGUCAAAUUCAACUCAAGAAAGCCGUGAAAAACCUAUGAACCAACCUUGUUUUCUUGCUAGCGUCUUCCUGAAUCUCGGGGGGGGGGGCGAGAUUCCUGUUAAGUGGGUUAGAUUUGUAACACCAUGAAUUUGGGGGUAUAAAAUUUCUUUUCUAAUAUUCACCAAAUUCAGGUGUUACCCUCUCUUUUCCUUGUUUUUCUUUUUCUAAAUAGUGAAGAGUUAUUUUGUUUUAUAUCUAUGCAAAAUCCUAGAAAAAUAAAAUCUUAGAGGAACUUUGAUUGUUGCAUUCAUGCCGAUACAUAGUGUUUAUGAGUGCAAAAUGUUAUCAUUACAGAUGAAAAUAUAUCGAGGAUGUUCCCAAGAGUUUUUGGAAUCUUCGGAAGGUUUCUUCGGGUAUGAAAUAUGAAUUUCAGUUUUUCUAAUAUUAAUUAAAUACCUAAAAUGUGGUAGUUGUGAAAACUAUAAAAUUUUUGGAACUCGAUAAUAUAUAUAUAUAUAUAUAUAUAUAUUUCUUCCUCUCGUCGAACCUAUUCCAGAUCUCGUGCCCCUUUUCGCGAGAUUACUGAACCGCGUCUUCUCGCGAACAACAUGCUGCUCGCGUCGGCGAUCCUCCUCUAUCCUCGUCUUUCCCUUCGGCGUCCACCUCGUCAUCUUGGGCCCACGGGCCGGCUCUGAUCGUCUUCGUCUAAUUUUAUCUAACCCUGUCUACCACCCAUCUAACUCUGUCUAACCCUAUCUCGUGCAACUUGCCGCGCAGCUGUCUCUCUCGCUCGGCCAAGACAAGAGCCGUCGUGAAAUUGACAACCACCUCUCGUGCCCUCUCCUUUCUAUACAUACCCUCUCCUUUCUAUACAAUCGUACACCCUGCCAUGAACCCCUUCCCUCUUCCUUCUCACACAUGAGCAGCCCACGCGUUUUCCUCUCUAUGCAUUGUGCCUUCGUGGUCUUAGGGUCCACCUCGUCGUCUUCCUCGCGUCGUCGGAGGAGCAGCCCCAUCGUCUUCCUCGCGUCGUCUUCCUCUUCUUUGAUUGCCUGCUCGGCUGGUCUUCAUGUGUAGGUGACAAAUCCUCUCCUUCUCCCUCGUCUUCGCAUCCUUCUUCCUCGUCACUACGCAAACAUCAUGGCGGCCAAGGAGCUCACACCAAACUCCCUACUCACCUAGCGACGCAGCUGGCCUAGCCCCUCACCGGUGCGGCUUGGCGUGGCCCACACAGCUAGCCCGCCUCGCCCCCAGCCGAGCUCGUGCAGCCACCCUGUGUGACCCCUGGCUAGGCCGAUGUCUAGCCGAGCCUUCCCUGCCACGACACACCCUUGUAUGGUGCUGCUGCGCACCGCUCAGCCCCGACUCCGGCGAGCAGACACCACCGCCGUCAGCCCCACCCACCAUAGUGCAUGCCACGUCGGCAUCGCGCCCGCUCCGGUAGGCCAAUCCGUUUUCCUACUAUUGCCGUUCGUGCAGUAUGGAAUAGGAAAAAAAGGAAACCACCCCAUGUGGCCCCACCUGCAUGCUCAUUCGUUGCCUAGCGCCGUGGCGCGAUCUUCUCACUGCACACAUGAUCGCAGCACGGAAAGGAGAACCAUCGUAGACCCCUGCAUGUUCCUUCCUAUACGAUAUCAUCAUUGCACGUAAUGUGUGUGGGAAAGAAAACUGACAGCCACGUAUUAAUGCCUGGUUGGCCAUGUGCAACGCCGUUCCGUCUAUGGCCACACUAGAUCCGGUCGGUUUUUCUGUGUCUUCAAACCCGUGGCCAUCCGUGUGGUAAGUUUUAACCAAUGAAAAUACGCAGCAUCACAUUAAAUGCGCAAAAUAUUAAUUUUUUCAAUAUAUUUUACGUCGCAAACAUGAUUUGACUAGUUUCAGUCGCGUUAACUUUGUAACCUCGUCGUGUACGAGUUAGUAGCAUUGUUUUGUCGUAAACAUGUUUUAACUAAUUAAUUAAUUAUUUGUUAGUCUGAUUAAAACUAAUUUGUAAUUAAAUAUUAGCAUGAUUAAUGUCAGCGUAAAUGUUUUCGAACUAAUACUUGUUUAGUAUAAUCUCGUUAUCUGUUAGCUAGUAUCAAGCGUCGUCACACUAUCUGCGCACAUCGUCACGCUGCUCACGCGUGAUGUGCUCGUUGACGUGCAGAUUUGCGCGUCGUUCACGCUGGUCGCGCACACUGUUUCGUGCGUCGUCCGCGUGCUAUGUCGCACGUGGCCGCGCGUCGUUCACACGCUGUCGUGUUGUUUCGCUUUUCGUGAUUUCACCUCGCUUAGAAUCUCUCUUUUUAAUUAAAUUACUUAUUUAAUGAUAGUUGUUCGUGUAGCAGAUUAAUCAAACUAAAUAGUAGAUAUAAUUUAUAUUUGAUAAAGUCGAAUUAAAUGUUAUAGUUAAUACCUGUUUGGCAUAAAUGCGAUAACUUCUUGACCAUAGCUCCGAUUUCUGCUUUUCUUUUCCUCGCGCCGGCAUAGAAGCGAGCUUUAUUUUUUUAUUGCAUGCUUUAUAUUAUUGUAUCUUGUAUGAUGUAAUGUUCUUAUGCAAGUAUAUGUUUUCUUGUGCUUGUUUGUCUUCGUUGUGCGUCGCUAAUAGAUUGCGAUCUGUUCCUGAGCUUCGAGGAAUCGACAAUCAAGAUUUGGUGAACCUCUGGUCCUAAGAUGAAGUUCUUUGAGUCCUACAAAGUCGAAGACCCUGAGCAUCGGUUUGGUGAAGGCAAGUGUCCUCUGACCUAUUGUGUCUCAUUUACUUUAUAAUUCAUCAACCAGCAUUGUCACACCCGGAUUUCGGGGCACCAAGACCCGGGCGCGAACAUAAUCACCAGGUGUGCUGGGACCAAGUCUCACACAUAUGAUGAAUCAUGGCACAGGAUCAAAUGUCACAUCUUUACUAUAUAACAGGAGUUCUAUACAAAAUAAAUAAUUACAUUAUAAGGAGACAACGGACCAGCAAACCAAAGUUGACUGGGAGACGACGGCCUAGACCACUCACGAACUCGUCACAGCAUCCUCCAUGCGCCUCAUCCUGUGGUACCUGUUCUUGACCUGUGGGGGGGUGUGAGACAGCAAGAGUGAGCUCACAUACGUUCAUCGCUCAACAAGUUGUGGGGAAUAAUGUGCAUGAACUCGCCAAAGGUGGGAGCUCAUGUGAAGUGUAAGGCUUACCAAAGAGGAUGGUUAGAGCUGAGCAUUGCUUUUAAAGUUGGUCAAAAUUUUAUUAGCAAUUACUAAGUAUAAGUAAAUACCAACCCAAUUAAGUAGUAGAACCAAAAGUAACAACAUCACCUGCGAUGCAAUGCGUAUGACAAAUUGAAUUUAGUUCCAUAAAUUAAUCAUGUGAGGGUCCGAGCUGCUCAUGACCGUGAGCACGGCUAGUAUACCAGUUUUACACUCUGCAGAGGUUGCGCAUCUUUACCCACAAGUCAUGUUACCCAUCUGCCAAGGGAUCGCGACUUCCCAUACACCUCUACCGAGGAGGCGAGGCAGGGUAACACUACGAGGCCUUUACAAAGUUCCACUAGCUUCAGAAAACCCGCUACAGUUUAUAGGAAGCUCCAAUGCAGGAAUCCCUUGCAGGACCGCCAUCGCAGCAAAAUCCUCCCGAGGGCCUCCCUACACUGACCACUCCCCUACUGCCCUUGCCCCUUUCGGGUAAGGUAGUCCUCCACUAGCUUUCCUAAUUAAUCAGCCAAGGGCGUCCCAUUAUACCCCUGUGGUAGCACUGUUUUCCCGGGUGGUCGCUCCAUGUUCCAAUUAACAUAAUGAUCUUAUCAUGAACGAUAAAUAACAACGGAUAACAAAAGUAUAAUCAUGAGUAAUGUAUCUUCAUACCCAAAACCACAUAAAGCACUAGCAAGUACUACCCAAAAAGUUCAGUGGUAACAAGGUAUAAAGAUAAUCAAACUAGGGUAACCUAUUGGGUCCCAUCAAAAUUAACCUAUGCAGAUCAUUAUGAUUAAUCAGAACAUGGGUGGGUAAAAAAAAGUGAUCAAGGGCACAACUUGCCUGGGACUUGAGAUUCCAGGUACCAGGAUGAUCCACAGGUGACUCGUAACCUCGCGCUAGUCGUAGCAAUACAAACAAGCAUGGUAUAGGCAAAAAUUAACAUCACACCAAACAUAAGAAUAAACUACGCAAUAAUAAUCUACGCGAUGUUACGAGAUCGUAGAAACAAGAACCACUAAAUUCGGAGUUGCGGUUACCAAGAUAUGAAUUUCGGAAAUUAUUUAGUGCUUAGAAUAGAUUAAUCCAAAUGAAUAAUUUAAAUUCAAGUUUCAUGGCUAAACAAUGUUACUAGUUGGUAGACAAUAUUAAUACAAAAUUAUUGCAACUGGAAUGACUCAAUUUGGAGCUAAAAUGAAUUAUAUAUGAAUUUCUCAAGUUUCUAGAAUUGUUUUUGUACUAAAAACUAAUUUCUAUAAUUAUUUCUCUAUUUUUAAUCCCUUCUGGACUGGGCCUCGAAUUCCAGAAAAAUCAGGGGCUAGCGCGUAAGUUUUCCCGAGACUCAGAACACAGUGAACGUGGACGGCGGGUUUAUUAUGUGAAAACAGAGGGUCUCUUUAUGAAGUUUGCCACGCGAAGGGGUAUCCGGAAAUCCAGACCGUCCGAUCACUGCCCAUCGGCCCAGAUUAUGUCUACGCAGCAAAUAACGUAUAACUAUUUUCGACCACCAGAUCUAACAUCCACGGUUCUCAUUCUCUUACCCCUAGAUCUAAUCCUAGACGUCUGGAACCGAUCCAACGGUCACGAUGCCAUUAGCCGAACAGGUACGCCUGACCCGAUCCGAGACGUCCGCGGUUUGAUCAACAGCGCAGCGCCCAGCGACCUCCCCGCCCUAACCAGUACCGUCCACUUCCAGAUCGACGGACGCGCCCGCGUCUUCUACCUCACGGUUCUCUCUCUCUUCGAUUUCUUUUCUCAGCUAUACCGUCGCAACCGAGCGCCACAGACUCUGAACAAAAUGGACCUGGCCACCCCGCGCGGCCGCUUGCCGGCGAGCGCGCACGCCGAGGAUCCCCGCACGGCCCUCGCCACUGGCUCCCCACUACCGACCGCCAUCGCUAACGCUCUCAGAUCAACACCGAAGAAUGGUAACGCCGCGCCCCGCCACGACGAGCUAGCAAUCGGCUUCAAUAGUGGUAUGCACGCUACGCUAAUGAUGAUACGCCGAGCAGGUGCGAGCGAGGGGAAACGCUUACCGAUGACCACUCGAACAACGCCUUCGCGAUUUCACCCACCGCCGAGCGCAGUCGCAGAAGAAUCCCGACGGCAGCGGUGACCGGUCCGAGCUCCACUCUGGGUACCCGGCUCCUGCGGCGACCACCCGACCGCCUAGAGCAACGAACGGAGGUGAGGCGACGGCGGCGACCCCAACUCCCACGGCGAAUCCCGAGCUCCCCUCCCUCCUAGCCGGUAAGUUUGGCGCGGCGGCGGCGCUGAAACAGGGGAGACGGAGCCAGCACAGCGACUCUUUAUAGGCGUGGCCAGGUCGGGAUGAGGGUGGGUGCAACGGACCCAGCAAACCCGGCCGACGGGCGAGGAGGUGGUUGAGGUGUGCUGUUAGCGCGCGGCGGGAUCUACGGCAAGAGCUCCGGAGAGAAGAACGCACGAUAUCUGACAAGGCGGGCCCGCGUUCCAGAUAGCAGAAGGGAGAAGCGAGCGCACGCGGUUCCGUUUCCAGCUCGCAACCGAGAAGGACGGAAGACCUGACAAGGGUGGCCCACACGGGAGUGUCUAGUGCAAGGGAUAGGCUGCUUCGUGGGUCCCACGCGUCGAUGGCGUGAGCGAGUGCACGGCUGACCGAAGUGGUCCACCUGUCGGCACAUGCGAAGGAGAGAAGGCUGGGCUUGCGCGGAAGGAAUUCUCUUAUGGGUCGAAAAGCGCAGAUCUGGCCCAUGCGGCGAUUUUACCCUUUUUCUUUUUUCUUUAUUCUUUUCUCUUUUCUUUUUCAAAUUUAGGUUUUCAUUUCUACUUUUAGAUUUCAAAUUCAAAUUUGAAUUUCAGUUAUGGAUUUGUACUUAUAUCAAAAUGUGCCAAUUUACAUUUGGAGAUGAAGAGAAUGUAUUUAUGUAUAUAUUUAUUCCCUAUGUUUUAUGUGGUAUUUCUUUUCUUUUUAUUUUCAAAACCCUAUUUUCAAAUUUAGGGUUUGAUUCAACUUCUAGUAUUUAUUAUCUUAUUACCAUUAACAUUAUUAUUUUAUUUAAUGCACAAACAUAUAAACUCCAACAUGAUGCAUUUUUUUAUCAUUUGUUUGAAUUAAACUCCAAAUUUUGUGUAUGCUCUUUUUUUAUGAUGCAAAUGAGGCACAUCAAAUAAGGAAAACACUAUAUAUUCCUUGUACACAAUUUUGAGUAUUACAAAUCCUACCCCCCUUAAAAAUAAUCUCGUCCUCGAGAUUUGUAAGAAAAGGGAUGCAAAAGAAUUGGUUUGUAAUUCCGCUUUUAGUCUAUAGUUGGUUCAAAAAUCCAGAGUCUCAUUUUUUUAUAGUCAAUAGGGGUUGAUUAGGAGAGCCUAGGUAUCUAGUUACCUAUUAUAUAGGGUAUAAGCUGGACAAGUUGAGGUAAGAAAGAUUAUGACAAGGAAAAGACUUCACCAGCAAUGUUUAAGUCUUGAUUCAUCUCGAGAUUCACUUUGACUGUUUUAUCCUUCCUUGUCGAGGUCGAUCUUCUCUUCUCUGGUCUUGGUCUCAUUGAUUCGAGGUUAGUGUAUAUCAUCGGGGUUGGGGAAUAUGGUUAAGAUAGAUAUGGAUGAGAUAGACUACAUGAUGUAGGUCAAAAUCUUGUUUGAUGUUAGGUGGGGAUACACAAAUUGGAUAUAACUAGAUUAGACUAGUUAAGAUCUACUUAUUUUAGGAUAGAUCAUAGUUAUUACACCUAGUACGAGAUAAGCAAGGUAGUUAGGAUAUGACAAGAUAAGAUAGGAUAGAAUCUUUUAAGAUGAGAUGAAUCUAUUAAGAUAAGAGAAAAUCUUUUAAGAUAAGAUAUAUUUUAAUUAGGAUAAGUUAGGAUCUUUUCACAUAAGAUGGAUCUAUGAGUGUAGGAUAAAAUCUUUUAAGAUGAGAUGAAUAUUGUUAGGCUAGAUACUUUAAUGAGGGAUAACCUAGUUUACCUAGUUAUUUUUAUAAGCAUUUUUUUCGAUAUGUAUAUGCAUAUGUGAUUGUGGACAUUCCUCCACAACUCAUCACACUCAAUCAAAGAUCCAAAUCAGGCAAGUAUCCUAAGAACAAACAUUCAAGGGCACAAAUAAUUAUAAAAAAAUAGUUUUGUUUUUGUUCCUAAGAUGAGGUCUCCUAUUCCUAAAAGUCACUUUAGGCACAGGAUUUCAAAGUGUGAAAUCCACAUUUGUCUUUAGAAUGAAAAGGUAAGAAUAAUCAGAGUAAAGCGAAAAUAGAUGAGAAAAGAUUAAGAAAAGUUUAGAAAAGAAUUAGAGUAGCAAGGGUAAGUAAGUAUUGGUUGUCCAGUUCUAUCUAGGUUUCGUCCUACAGUCAACAUUCCUCUGAUACCACUUCUGUCACACCCGGAUUUCGGGGCACCAAGACCCGGGCGCGAACAUAAUCACCAGGUGUGCUGGGACCAAGUCUCACACAUAUGAUGAAUCAUGGCACAGGAUCAAAUGUCACAUCUUUACUAUAUAACAGGAGUUCUAUACAAAAUAAAUAAUUACAUUAUAAGGAGACAACGGUCCAGCAAACCAAAGUUGACUGGGAGACGACGGCCUAGACCACUCACGAACUCGUCACAACAUCCUCCAUGCGCCUCAUCCUGUGGUACCUGUUCUUGACCUGUGGGGGGUGUGAGACAGCAAGAGUGAGCUCACAUACAUUCAUCGCUCAACAAGUUGUGGGGAAUAAUGUGCAUGAACUCGCCAAAGGUGGGAGCUCAUGUGAAGUGUAAGGCUUACCAAAGAGGAUGGUUAGAGCUGAGCAUUGCUUUUAAAGUUGGUCAAAAUUUUAUUAGCAAUUACUAAGUAUAAGUAAAUACCAACCCAAUUAAGUAGUAGAACCAAAAGUAACAACAUCACCUGCGAUGCAAUGCAUAUGACAAAUUGAAUUUAGUUCCAUAAAUUAAUCAUGUGAGGGUCCGAGCUGCUCAUGACCGUGAGCACGGCUAGUAUACCAGUUUUACACUCUGCAGAGGUUGCGCAUCUUUACCCACAAGUCAUGUUACCCAUCUGCCAAGGGAUCGCGACUUCCCAUACACCUCUACCGAGGAGGCGAGGCAGGGUAACACUACGAGGCCUUUACAAAGUUCCACUAGCUUCAGAAAAACCCGCUACAGUUUAUAGGAAGCUCCAAUGCAGGAAUCCCUUGCAGGACCGCCAUCGCAGCAAAAUCCUCCCGAGGGCCUCCCUACACUGACCACUCCCCUACUGCCCUUGCCCCUUUCGGGUAAGGUAGUCCUCCACUAGCUUUCCUAAUUAAUCAGCCAAGGGCGUCCCAUUAUACCCCUGUGGUAGCACUGUUUUCCCGGGUGGUCGCUCCAUGUUCCAAUUAACAUAAUGAUCUUAUCAUGAACGAUAAAUAACAACGGAUAACAAAAGUAUAAUCAUGAGUAAUGUAUCUUCAUACCCAAAACCACAUAAAGCACUAGCAAGUACUACCCAAAAAGUUCAGUGGUAACAAGGUAUAAAGAUAAUCAAACUAGGGUAACCUAUUGGGUCCCAUCAAAAUUAACCUAUGCAGAUCAUUAUGAUUAAUCAGAACAUGGGUGGGUAAAAAGAAGUGAUCAAGGGCACAACUUGCCUGGGACUUGAGAUUCCAGGUACCAGGAUGAUCCACAGGUGACUCGUAACCUCGCGCUAGUCGUAGCAAUACAAACAAGCAUGGUAUAGGCAAAAAUUAACAUCACACCAAACAUAAGAAUAAACUACGCAAUAAUAAUCUACGCGAUGUUACGAGAUCGUAGAAACAAGAACCACUAAAUUUGGAGUUGCGGUUACCAAGAUAUGAAUUUCGGAAAUUAUUUAGUGCUUAGAAUAGAUUAAUCCAAAUGAAUAAUUUAAAUUCAAGUUUCAUGGCAAUAUUAAUACAAAAUUAUUGCAACUGGAAUGACUCAAUUUGGAGCUAAAAUGAAUUAUAUAUGAAUUUCUCAAGUUUCUAGAAUUGUUUUUGUACUAAAAACUAAUUUCUAUAAUUAUUUCUCUAUUUUUAAUCCCUUCUGGACUGGGCCUCGAAUUCCAAAAAAAAUCAGGGGCUAGCGCGUAAGUUUUCCCGAGACUCAGAACACAGUGAACGUGGACGGUGGGUUUAUUAUGUGAAAACAGAGGGUCUCUUUAUGAAGUUUGCCACACGAAGGGGUAUCCGGAAAUCCAGACCGUCCGAUCACUGCCCAUUGGCCCAGAUUAUGUCUACGCAGCAAAUAACGUAUAACUAUUUUCGACCGCCAGAUCUAACAUCCACGGUUCUCAUUCGCUUACCCCUAGAUCUAAUCCUAGACGUCUAGAACCGAUCCAACGGUCACGAUGCCAUUAGCCGAACAGGUACGCCUGACCCGAUCUGAGACGUCCGCGGUUUGAUCAACAGCGCAGCGCCCAGCGACCUCCCCGCCCUAACCAGUACCGUCCACUUCCAGAUCGACGGACGCGCCCGCGUCUUCUACCUCACGGUUCUCUCUCUCUUCGAUUUCUUUUCUCAGCUAUACCGCCGCAACCGAGCGCCACAGACUCUGAACAAAAUGGACCUGGCCACCCCGCGCGGCCGCUUGUCGGCGAGCGCGCACGCCGAGGAUCCCCGCACGGCCCUCGCCACUGGCUCCCCACUACCGACCGCCAUCACUAACGCUCUCAGAUCAACACCGAAGAAUGGUAACGCCGCGCCCCGCCACGACGAGCUAGCAAUCAGCUUCAACAGUGGUAUGCACGCUACGCUAAUGAUGAUACGCCGAGCAGGUGCGAGCGAGGGGAAACGCUUACCGAUGACCACUCGAACAACGCCUUCGCGAUUUCACCCACCGCCGAGCGCAGUCGCAGAAGAAUCCCAACUGCAGCGGUGACCGGUCCGAGCUCCACUCUGGGUACCCGGCUCCUGCGGUGACCACCCGACCGCCCAGAGCAACGAACGGAGGUGAGGCGACGGCGGCGACCCCAACUCCCACGACGAAUCCCGAGCUCCCCUCUCUCCUAGCCGGUAAGUUUGGCGCGGUGGCGGCGCUGAAACAGGGGAGACGGAGCCAGCACAGCGACUCUUUAUAGGCGUGGCCAGGUCGGGAUGAGGGUGGGCGCAACGGACCCAGCAAACCCGGCCGACGGGCGCGGAGGUGGUUGAGGUGUGCUAUUAGCGCGCGGCGGGAUCUACGGCAAGAGCUCCGGAGAGAAGAACACACGAUAUCUGACAAGGCGGGCCCGCGUUCCAGAUAGCAGAAGGGAGAAGCGAGCGCACGCGGUUCCGUUUCCAGCUCGCAACCGAGAAGGACGGAAGACCUGACAAGGGUGGCCCACACGGGAGUGUCUAGUGCAAGGGAUAGGCUGCUUCGUGGGUCCCACGCGUCGAUGGCGUGAGCGAGCGCACGGCUGACCGAAGUGGUCCACCUGUCGGCACAUGCGAAGGAGAGAAGGCUGGGCUUGCGCGGAAGGAAUUCUCUUAUGGGUCGAAAAGCGCAGAUCUGGCCCAUGCGGCGAUUUUACCCUUUUUCUUUUUUCUUUAUUCUUUUCUCUUUUCUUUUUCAAAUUUAGGUUUUCAUUUCUAUUUUUAGAUUUCAAAUUCAAAUUUGAAUUUCAGUUAUGGAUUUGUACUUAUAUCAAAAUGUGCCAAUUUACAUUUGGAGAUGAAGAGAAUGUAUUUAUGUAUAUAUUUAUUCCCUAUGUUUUAUGUGGUAUUUCUUUUCUUUUUAUUUUCAAAACCCUAUUUUCAAAUUUAGGGUUUGAUUCAACUUCUAGUAUUUAUUAUCUUAUUACCAUUAACAUUAUUAUUUUAUUUAAUGCACAAACAUAUAAACUCCAACAUGAUGCAUUUUUUUAUCAUUUGUUUGAAUUAAACUCCAAAUUUUGUGUAUGCUCUUUUUUUAUGAUGCAAAUGAGGCACAUCAAAUAAGGAAAACACUAUAUAUUCCUUGUACACAAUUUUGAGUAUUACACGCAUACCAUGAUCAACCUAAGGAUUGACUAGUAUUCUGUUUUCAUGUCCUUGUUUACCCUUUGGGUAUUGAUUAUUAUGAUUAGCUCUAUGCUAGCGCUUUACUUUUAAUCAAUGAACAUGAUGAGAUACAAUGAUGAUACUAUGAUUUUUUUCUGGAUAUGAUGAUAUACUUGUGGCAUUUUAGGGGACUCGAGCGGUUUCUCGAGCGCCUCUCCAUAAGGACUUGUUUGUUGGAUGACCACCCGGGAAAAUAGUGCAACCAUGAGGGUGGUAUGGACGCCCUUAGCUAAUUAAUUAGAGGAACUGAGGUGUAGUUCACUUCGCCGUCGUGCCGUCAAUGGGCUAGGUGUAUGCGGCUCGCUCUGCCGAGGGUGGAUUGCCCCUUGGGGAGGAGUGUAGUACAUUUAGGAAACCUAACGGGCGGCUACACCCUCAGGGAAUCUUUGUAAGGGCUUCGUAGUGAAUCCUUGGCCAUUCACCUCGAGAGUGAAUAAGGGUCUUGCAAGCCCGGGCUAGAGAAGGAAUCACGACUCGUGGGUAAAGUGCGCAACCUCUGCAGAGUGUUAUGAAACUAAUAUAUCAGGCGUGCUCGCGGUUAUGAGCGGCCUUGGGAGCUCCAUUGAUUAGAGACACAUUGAAUCAGGACUACUUUGUUUAUAGAUGAUGAUGAGGAUAAUGCUGGUUUCUAUUGUGAUUAUGAUUAUGGUUUCUGGUAUUCCUUCCGUUUGGAAAGAGUACUUUUGGGUUAACAACUUGGGUUAAUGUUAAAACCUGGCUAUCUACUAGUAAUAAUUACCUGAUCAACUAAAAGCAACUGCUUGACCUUAACCCCACAUAAAGCUAGUCCACUACAGCCAAACGGGACAUUUGUUGAGUACGUUGAUGUGUACUCACCCUUGCUUUCACAAAACACCAGGUUGCCUUUGGUGCAAUCUAUGCUCAGGUAAAGAAGGUGUCGAGGUGGAUCUCCAGGAGUUCCAGGACUUCGACGAGUUUGAGGAUUAGGCUAGCGACAUCCCCCAGUCAGCUGCCUGUGGUGGGUUAAUUUACGUUGGCUACGUUUCAAUUCUGUGUACUUUGAUUUAUAUUAUGUAAAUGACUCUAGUCUUUAAUAUUAUUACUUACUCUUUAUUGUUAUUCGAAGCAUUGUGCUAUGAUGAGUCAUUUAUGUAAUCGCUAUGUACGUGAGUUCUGAUCCUAGCACGUACAUGGUUCGCAUUCGGUUUACCUUCUAAAACCUGGGGUGACAGGUGGCAUAGCAGGAGUGGAGGGCAGCGACGGUUGCACAGCUCUGCGUGCAGUGGCUUGCAUUGUUUGCUCCUCGUUGGCGAUGCGUGUGCGACCAUGAGCUCUCGACACAGGUAGGUAGUAGUAGAGCCAGAAUUGUAACCUUGGGUUUUCCCACACCUCAAAUAGAUAUAGAUAUAGGGAUAUAGAUAGAUAUAGCAAAUUCACCAAAUAAUAUAGGGGUAUAGAUAUAGAUAUAAUAAGGGGUAUAGAUAUAGAUAUAGAUAUAUAGAAGAUAUAGAUAGAUAGAUAGAUAGAUAUGAUAGAAUAGAUAACUUACAAUUUUGUCUAAAAGAAACUAAAUCACUGCUAAGUUUGGAGUAGCAUAUCUUUGGUGAAUACUUGCUAGUGAAUUGGUUUCCGCUAUAGUAUAUAUAUAUAAGUAUACACUCUUAUAGGAUUAUAGUAUAUAUAUAUAAGUAUACACUCUUCUAGGAUCAAUCGUGAGGAGUUCAUUAAAUUGUCUUGCGACAUGGAGUACAGAAAGAGGGUGGAUGCGCUAGUGUUUUUCUCGUUACUUCUCCUCGGAUACUUUGCUGCUCAUGCACAUGGGAAGGGUAAGUGAAAACUAUACAGACAUGUGUGUGCAUGCUUAGAUAGAUCUAGACAAUUUAGAAGAUGUUAUUAUAUGAUACCGUGUGUAUCAUGGCGAAUUGCUAAUGUAUCGCAAUCCCCUGUGUUAAAUUACUCAAAUAAUUUCGAAUGUAAUUAUUCUCGAGGCAUUUGUUGGUAAUAGAACUCUUAUCCUAUACCUUCUACUAGGUCAUGUCACAGAUGAUGUCAGUGUUUCUACUCCAGCUAAAGAAGGAAUUAUGCAAGGAAACGGAGCAUGGUGCGUUGUAGGGUUUCCUCCAUGCAAAGAUAACAAGUGCUACUGCUGCAUUGGGGGGCGAACUCAUGCUCGCUACUCUACGAUGGCUGAGUGUAGACAUGCCUGCUUCUAAACAAAAAUUAAGAUCGCUGUUAUUAUAUACAUUGUAAUGGUAGGUAAUGCUAUUAAUAAUAUAUGGGAAUUUUAGUUUUGGUAUUAUACUUUUUUCCAAUUCACAAAAUUUAGUCAAAAUCUAACCAAUUUUUU
rnacentral:lncRNA from 1 species